UUAUAUAAACAAGAGUUCUAAAAUGAAUUGUAUGAUUAAAUAGGAAAAUAUUUUCAUCCAUACUCAUCAUUCACAACUAAAGGAACAACAAAACAUGCAUUAUUUGAUAGUCAUGAAGAGUUAUAUGUAGAGCCAAGCUAAUUUUAUUAACACUAAUAUAACCAUAUAUCCUGCCUUUUAAUUGAACUUUACUAUGAAAGGAGAAGUCAUUACUUCUACAACUGAGGCUAUUCGGCCUUAAAUUAAAAGGGCAAAUGCAACAAGAGUGGCUAGUAUUACAAAAUAGGCUUCUCAGGUGUUUACAAAUGCAACUGAAACCUUGACCUGAAGUUUGACGCAAUAGAGGUUCGCCAAUGUCAAUAAUCUAACUUCUAACACUAAAAUACUCUUUUAACGCUAGCAUAUUCUUGCAUCGCUCAUUUUUCAAGUACACAAUAGUCUAAGUAAUUUUUACUAACACCAAAGAACGUGGAUACUCAGAUUACGAGCAGGCCGAUUUUAGCAUUCGAAUAUUCAGCUGCCAACUACAAAAUAAAUAUAACUAUCUACAACAACAACAACAACAACAACUACAAAGUAUAGUCCCACAAAAGUGGGGUCUGGGGAGGGUAAUAUGUAGACGAGCCUUACCCCUACCCGAAAGGACAGAGAGGCUGUUUCCAAUCGACCCUCGACUCGGUGAAGGAGAGGAAAAAUAUACAAACCAUCAUUAUAAAUAAAUGAUAUUCAUGCAUACUAAUUAAAUAAUAAAGUCAAUGAACCUUGAGAUCUCCAGGCAACUUGGAUGCAAGUGCCUCAGCAAAAUCAGCUACAGCAUGGUUCAAAUACAAAACAGUGGAGUGCUGCAAACGCUUUGUUUGAUUAACAAUUGAUUCAACCACCUCAGGAUGGCAAUGCCCACAACACACUGUAGCAAUCCCACCAAAACACAAAUCAUCUAUGGAUAUCCCUGCCAAGCCUCACCCAGCCCCGGGUGAGGAGUAUGAAAAACUCUAGGAGCCCCUAUCCUACAACCUUGAUACUAGACCUCNNNNNNNNNNNNNNNNNNNNNNNNNNNNNNNNNNNNGUCCUUGGAAACCCGCAUUCUAGCCAUGUCAUGUCUAAUCACCUCUCCCCAAUACUUCUUAGGCCUCCCUCUGCCUCGCCGAACGCCAACAAUCGCCAACCGCUCACAACUCCUCAGCGGGGCAUCAGGGCUUCUCCUCCGCACAUGCCCGAACCACAUCAGCCUCGCUUCUCGCAUCUUCUCAUCCACCGGGGUUGGGUAUUUGACUAAAAUAAUAAGAUGAUCGCGAGCAGACAGAUUUUAGCGCUCGAACAUUCAGCAUAUCUAUUGAAGAAAGUUACUGGAAAUAAGCUAAACAGGCAUGUCUUUUCAUCAUCUUCUAUUAAAGUAAAGAAGAUGCAUUACAAGUGGUUGGAAGGUUACUUGAAGAGCAGAAAUACAGCAAUAGCAAAAAUGCAGCAGCAGUGACAGCAGAAACAGUAGAAAAACAGCAGUAAGUUGAACCCAAAAGGAACCAGAACAAACCUUAAAACUCAACAACUUUUGUGAAAGAAGAAAUAGAAACUAGGUUUAUUUUCUCUCAGAAAACUCACUCUAGAACUCUCAAGUUUCAGCUUACUAUUAGACAUUCAGCUGUUAAUUUUGCUCUUGAGUUUUGUGUAUUCUUGAGUGUAAAAGAUAUUUCAGAGGCCAUGUAUCCUGCCCUCUAUUUUUCAUUAUGAAAGAAUGACCCCUUUAAGUAGGGAAAUAAGUCCUUUUGGACAGAUUUUGGUUCACCAAAAAUCUUCCAAAAGGACUUAACUUUUGGUGCCAAAACAGUCCACUUUUCACCAAAUUCUGAUAUAAAACAAAGCAGUUGCAUUUCCAGCAUGUUUAAACAAUAACAUAUCCAACAAACACGUACUUUAAACUCAAGUAUUCAGCUUUUAUCUAUUCAUGGCUGAAAUUCAGCUUAUACACUCAAACUCCAACCAAAUAUGAACUAGCAAAUAGAAACAAGACUCAAAAUGUAAUUGAACUUAAUAUUCAGACAAACUAGAUUAGAAUGAAUCCGAUUUGUACAAACUAUCAUGGAACAACAACUGAAUUUCACAAACUAUAGCUUGAAACAGAAAUUAAGCAAACAUAACUAUCACCAUUAAUAACAACUAAAUAUACGACUAACUAUAUAAACAAUUGAACUAAUCUUUUGGUUUUUUUCAUGAAAUUAACAUAAAGACUUAGCUAUUUGACCGACUAGGUCUAAAAACUAAAAAUUCAAGCUUAACAACUCUAUACAAAACAGUCGACCGAUUAGGUCGAAGAAUCAAAAAUCAGAACUAACGAACAAACAAACAAAAAGGCCGACCGGCUAGGUCGAAGAACUACAUGUUCAAACUUAAUCAAAUCCAUACAAAAUAGUUGACCGGCUAUGUCGAAGAACAGAAAAUCAGAACUAACAGGUAAUAACGAACUACUCGAUCGGCUAUGUCGAAGAACUGGAGUUCAGAUUUAUAAAGUAACAUGUAAUUAAAAACUAAUACCUAAUUGCACAUAAAUGACAUCUAAGUUAAUAGAAAUUAGACCUUUAAAACUAAUACUUAUUGCAAAAGCAAAAAAUCAGAGAAGAUAAAAAGGAAGUAAGGUCCAUACCAAUCGAGGGCAUUUGGCAUUGUUCAAGACACGAGAAGAAGUUGGGGAUAUCAACCAACGACUGUCCGACCCCGAAACGCAAGUUUCCUCUUAUUAGACGCCUAAACAAUUAAGUUGUGUCAUACUAGAAGGAAACAUGAGUUUUUGGAUCGAAUAGGCUUAACGAAUGAGGAAGUGGUAGGGCAGUAGCGGCGGGUCGGCAGUCCUACCGGUGGUGUGGAUUUUGGGAGGGGUAUUUAAAAACGGGUCUUGUAUUUGUGGAGAAAAGGUUGAAAGGAAGACACAGUGAAAUUUUGGGGUAGUUUGGACGACUGGUGGCGCGGCGCGCGGCGGGGCAGAGGUGGCGGCUUGACGGGUUUAGGUUGGUCAAUUUUUGGUGUGGAUUUGGGGAUUUUGGGUCAUGGAUUUAGAAUGAGGGGAGUGAGAAAAAGGUAUGGUGAGAUUUUGGGGUUGUUUGGGGGUACUCCGCUGGCGGCGGUGAUUUCCGGCUGGCGGAGAUGGGCGGCGGAAGGCGGUCUCUAAGAAGAGAUGAAAGAGUGAGAGGAAGAAGAAAGAGAUGUGAGGAAAAUGGGGGCAAUUUUUGGCCAAACUUGGCUUUAAAUACCUAGGGUGGGAGAUUAAUUAGGGCCAUUGGAUCAAGUGCUGAUGGUGGCUGAGAUUAAAUCUCUGUCACUUAACCAAAACGACAUAGUUUGGAUAUAAAACUAUGUCGUUUUGACCCUUCUGUGGCAGCCCCUAUUUGGACCGGAUCUGGGCUAUUUGGGCUUCUAAUUUUGGGCCAAUUUUGGCUCAAUUUCAAUUGAAAUAUACUAGCACAAUUCCCUACCCCCUAAUUAUCUUAUUUAGUCCUCAAGACAAUAUAUAAGUAGCAAAAAAAAUCUUUUUGGAAUAUAUAAUUUAAAGAUGCAAACUAAUAUACAAAUACAACAACAACUACCCAGUAUACUCCCACCAGGUGGGGUCUGGGGAAAACUAAUAUACAAAUAAAAGGUAAAAAUACUUUUGGUAUUUUUAAUAAAGGAAAUGCAAUUUAUAAAAUGCACAAAUAACAAAAAAUCAUCCAAAUACUAGUACUAAAAGUAUGCAAAAAUUAGGUAUUCACAGUUACGGCCAGAUUUUUUAAAAUUUUUUUUAAACGUAGUCGUUGGGCCCGAUUGAGAACGUUCGGGAUCGGUUAGGAAUGGUUGAACCGGCCCACUUAGGACCCUAUCCCGGGCCUAAACGAUCCUAGUCUUAACGGUCUCCUUAUGUGAACCGGUCCACUUGGGCAUGCACCUCUCCCUGGUUUCGGGCUUAAACGGGUAGGACCGCUUAGGACCACUACCCAUAUGGGCUCGCAUGCUUAGGCCGGUCCUCGGCCUAACCGGCCCACUUGCAACCCUUGGUACUUCCCCAUAAGAAGUUUUGUGUGGAGUCAAUCUUGUUUAUAGAAGUUUUUGGGAGACUGAAUAUUUGCAUAGUGUGAUUGGGGAUGCUACAAUGGUUUCUUUAUUGAGAGUGGUUCUUCCUGCUAGAUUUAGGAAGUGAGUGUUUCAACCCUUAAGCCUGCUAUUAAGUCUGUCAAUAAUGUAUUGGAAGUAUUUUUUGGAAAGUUUUGAGUUUGUCAUAGAAAACCCCAGGUAUUUUAUCUGCUGUAGUUGAGGUUUUAAUGUUGAGGCAAUUGCUAAAUAAAGAUGGUUUGUCAGGCGGUGUAUUUUUUGAGAAAAUUAUCCUAGAUUCGUUAAAAUUAAUGGAUUGACGAGAGAAAGUGCAGAAUUUGUUAAGAGUAUCUAUGAGGGAAUCACAAUUUUUCUGGUUGGCCUCCACUAUAUGGAUGAAAUCAUCAACAAAGAAUAAGUGAGAUAGCUGGGCAUCAUUUUAUGAAAGGACUAUUGGGUCUCAUCUACGUUAGUCUACCUCGUGGUUCAUAAGUCUAGAUAGUAUUUCCAUGCAAAUUAUGAAUAAAUAGGGAGACAUGUGUCCCCUUGCCUAUUGUCUCUAGUUGGGUUAAAGAAGUUAGCUUUCAUUCCGUUAAUGAGUAUGGAAGUAGAGGUGGAGGAACACAGGACAGAGGUCAAUUAAGUCAUUCGGGAAAUUUACAGAUUUUAGGUAGAAUCUAAUAAAAGAUCAUUCUAACUUAUUAAAAGCUUUGUCUAAAUCAACUUUUACUAAGAUUUUUUCUUUUUCUCCUUUGGUAUUAUUAUAAAAAUUCAGUACUUUGUGAAUUAUUAUAGUAUUGUCUGAAGCCUUUGAAUUGGAUAAAUAAUUUAUUCAGAAGGGGUUUGAUUCUAUUCAUUUCUCAAAACUGCGGAUUUAUGACAAGAUAAAUUCCAUGUUUGAGUUGUGUAACAUUUUAAUUCCACUUUAUCCAAAUGUAUGAUAUGAGAGCUUUGAUUGAAACUUGGUCUCGACGAUUUAGAUAAAAUACACUUCUAUUUAAUUAAUUGUCUUUCACGUGCUCCUUUCCUAUGGACCAGGCAUGUGAUUGACAGUAACAGAUGAAAUACGAAUCCAAAAUCAUUGUCCGCACUGGUUUUGAACUCGUUCAUAUUAGUGGUGGUAAAAUUAUUAAAAAAACAGUUAUUCACUUAUAUUAUUUAUUGAAAAAUAAAUUUGAUAAAUUAGUCAAAUAUAGAUAAGAAUCAUAUUAUUCAUUUAGAAAAUAAAUAAUCGAGUGGGUAACCAAUAAAUAACUAAUGAGUUUAACUCUUGAAUUUAUAAAACUUCAAAUUGGGUCCUCAAGUUUGGAAGACUUAGAAUUCUCGCAAAAGUAAUCAUAUUCAAGAAGCCGUGGAUAAUAUGGAUAUCAAUAUUAUCCAUUAAUAUGAAUAUCCAUAUUAUCCGCCAAUUAAUUUUUUUCUAUCCCUAUUAAAUAUAAGUCGAAUCGAAUAAUUUACCUUUUGCAUUACUUAUUUUCGACCUGUCUAUGUCUAAUCGACCCGUUCAUUUGCCACCCUAGUUCAUAUCAACCUAUGAGUCCUUAACAUACUUUAUUUGUAGGUAUUUUUACCUAUAUAUACCAUAUAGCAAACCUUAUUAUCAAAAUUGUGUAUGGUUUGGUAUUUNNNNNNNNNNNNNNNNNNNNNNNNNNNNNNNNNNNNNNNNNNNNNNNNNNNNNNNNNNNNNNNNNNNNNNNNNNNNNNNNNNNNNNNNNNNNNNNNNNNNNNNNNNNNNNNNNNNNNNNNNNNNNNNNNNNNNNNNNNNNNNNNNNNNNNNNNNNNNNNNNNNNNNNNNNNNNNNNNNNNNNNNNNNNNNNNNNNNNNNNNNNNNNNNNNNNNNNNNNNNNNNNNNNNNNNNNNNNNNNNNNNNNNNNNNNNNNNNNNNNNNNNNNNNNNNNNNNNNNNNNNNNNNNNNNNNNNNNNNNNNNNNNNNNNNNNNNNNNNNNNNNNNNNNNNNNNNNNNNNNNNNNNNNNNNNNNNNNNNNNNNNNNNNNNNNNNNNNNNNNNNNNNNNNNNNNNNNNNNNNNNNNNNNNNNNNNNNNNNNNNNNNNNNNNNNNNNNNNNNNNNNNNNNNNNNNNNNNNNNNNNNNNNNNNNNNNNNNNNNNNNNNNNNNNNNNNNNNNNNNNNNNNNNNNNNNNNNNNNNNNNNNNNNNNNNNNNNNNNNNNNNNNNNNNNNNNNNNNNNNNNNNNNNNNNNNNNNNNNNNNNNNNNNNNNNNNNNNNNNNNNAGAUUAGACUUGGUUUUGACUGAAUUUCAGAUUGAAACUCGUCGAAGAAGAAGAAGAAGACAUAUUUUUCCAGAAUUUGUAGUUAAAUUGUAGUUAAAUUUUAGAAUUGUAGAUAAAAUAUAGAUAAUUUGUAGAUAAAUGUAAAUUGUAGUUAAAUUGUAUUGUUACAUUUAUACUACAAUUAAACUACAAUCUUGUGUCAUUGACCAGUACUGAGUAGGUGUAAAAAUGUCUUGUUCCUUUCAGCUCCCGAACAGUAGAAUUGAUGAUUUGAUUCUCUUGUAUCAAUUUGUUUUUGUUUUUUGGAAAUUGGAUUCCCUUCUAUGCGAUGUAAAGAUUAUGACUAUCCUAUAAACCCCUUCAUUUUUAGGUACUUGUUUUCUCCACAAUCUUGCUUUUAGAGAUGCUAAUGUAUGUUUUCUGAAUCAUUACAACAUUUUCCUUGUAAUACAUGGCAUAAGAGUCAUUCAUUAUGGGGUGGAGGACGGCUAACACACUUGGUGAAAUCCUUGCCUUUUUACAGUUGAUGUGAUGGUUCAAACUCUAUUAUUGUAGCAUCUUCGUCCCUUUACCCCUUCUCUUUCUGAUGUAAUUAAAAGAAGCCAUUCAUUACUCUACCCUACAUUAAUACCACAAAGCUAAGUUGGGAUUGUCAUCAUGGUUACUAUUUGCGCUUCUUUUUGGAUUUUUAUCAUGCAUAAAGGUGCUUCCAAUUCAAAUAUUUCAUCGUGAAUUGUGGAGUUACCGGAGAUUUUAUGUUCAGGUUCAAAAUGAGUAAUUCCAUUAGGAAAGAGAAGGGGAAAAAAGGAAAAAGGAAUAUAUGCUCCUAAAAUCAUGCAUAUAAUAAAUGAAACAAUAAUUAUACCCUUAAUUUGAAUUAUGGUACAUAAAUUAAAAUUUGGUAUGCUUAGAUGGAAUAAACACAAACCUUAAAUAUGGGAGGUAAUAAGGUUUUCUAUAUGGUAUAUAUAUGUAAAAAUCCCAUCUUUUUUAGUAUGUAAAUUAAUAAGUUUUCUAAUUAAACAAGAAUCCAAUAAGAGAAACUCAACAGCUGAUGAAAUGAAAGCUAAGCAAACAGUAAGAUGACCCACUCAUUGGUUAUUAACCUUAACAGCCCAAUUUUAUUAUCCAAUUAUGUCCCAAAUGGCCUUCUAAGGCUAAAUUAAUUAUCAUAUUUUCAGCAAACUCCAAUUACCAAAGUAAGCGAGCAACCUAAUAUCCGUCAUUAAAGCCAAUAAACAUUAACUUUUUCCGAUUUAAUUUGAAUUAUGGUGCAUUAACUGAAAUUUGAUAUGCUUAAAUAUAAUAAAUACAAACUUUAAACAUGAGAGGUAAUAAUGUUUGCUAUAUGGCAUAUAUACGUAAAAAUCCCUUUUUUGUAAUGGAUAUAUGUUUCAUAACCGAUAAUGGAUCAUUAUGCAAGAAGACUUGGCACCUUGCAUUGGACCCAAUUUCUUUCAAGUAAAGGAAUUUGUGCUCUUUUUUUCUGUGUUGAAUGAGUCCGGACAAAUAUGCUAAAAGGGGAACUCCAAGGAUGAGAUUGAGAUGAAAUAGAUAAUAUUCGAUCAAUCAAUUCUUUUGGGAUCUUAAAUUAGUUGAAAUUGACUAUUAGAAUCAUUUGUUAUCUAUUUAUUUUACGAAAAGGAGGUUAAAAUAGAUUUUUAUUAUAAGAAAAAAUAUUGUAUUAGACAACAAUAAUAAUGAAAUUAUAUUAGUGGGGUUUGAGGAGAGUAGUGCAUACGCAGACCUUACCCUUACCCUACAAAAGUGGAGAGGCUAUUUCUGAUAGACCUUCGGCUCAAAAAGACAAAAAGAGGAAAAGAGACAAUAUAUCAGUAUCAGCAACAGAAACCAAAGAACUAAUAACAACAUCGUAAGAAUCAGAAGAUAGACGGAGAAGCAAUGAUAAUAACCAGUAAGUACGGCCCGUACCACGAAACGGAGGAAAGGGUGAAUAGAAACACUAACCACUAGCAGUCUAAGGCAAAACACUAUUAGACUAUCAUCAAUACGAAAAUGCAUGACUACAUCCUAACCUACAACCCUAAUGCUCAACCUGCACUCAAUCCCUAUUAAGGGUGAUGUCCUCAUAAAUAUAAAGUCGCACCAUGUUCUGCCCCAUCGCCUAUUCCCAAUACUCUUGGGACGCCCUCUACCUUUCCCCGUACCCGCCAAAGCCAACCACUCACACUUCCUUACCGGGUAUUUGGGUUUCUCCUCCGCGCGUAGCCGAACCAUCUGAGCUUACUUUUCGCAUCUUGUUUUCCAUGGGUGUCGCACCCACCUUCUCCCGAAUAUCUUCAUUCCUAAUUUUAACCUAGUGUGUGUGCACAUCCAACUUAACAUCCUCAUUUCUGCUACUUUUAUCUUUUAGAUAUGUAAAUUCUUAACUGACUAAUAGUGUUCCAUACAACAUAAUCAGUCUAACCACCGCUCUAUAAUGGAAGCUACAGCAUGAGCCGGUGAGCCCGAAGGACAAUCGCCUGUAAUUUUAAAUCAUUUAAAGUACAUGUAUAAAUUUGAACCUUUUACUCGAAGUAUUUGACAUGUGAAACUCACCUAUUCUACUGGGGAGUUCUGUUAGUGAUGUCAAAUUCAUGAACGACCUCAGAGUAUAGUGGAGAGUAAACGAAAAUAUAUCAUACGGUGAAAGGAUAAAUUUGACACUUUUCGAUUUCUCUCGUUCAAAAAGUUACAUUGUGCCUGAAUGGACACGUCCUAGAAAUUUACUACGUAUUUAUUUUUUAUUUUUGAAAAAUUAUCAGCAAACUCAUUCGUUGCUAGAGAAAGGAAUCGAUAUGAGCAUUGGCAGAGCUAGAAUUUAUACAAAUAAAUAUCAAAACUAAAAGAAAUUAUAUUAUAAUUGGGAAUGAAACUUGCAAUCUUCUAUAAUUUUUUACAUUCCUCGAUCUUUUCGACGAAUGGGUGCCGGUUACAUCUUGGUGCAAGGUAGCUCCGCCGAGGCUACUAAAUAAAUCUUGUUUAUCCGGAUUCAUUAGGUCGACAGACUAAGAAACAGUUAUCCACGAGUAUAUUUAAGUGAAGAAGUCAUAAGAGGGAGACAUGAUCGAUUAGGUACAGGGCCUAAAAUGUCAGAAUCUGAAAUUGCGUGCCCAAUAUACAAUACAUGAUCUGGAGUCUAAGGUCAAUAGUUUCACUUAUUGAACAUGAUGUUUUGUUGGUGGAUGAGGCUCAAAGUAAGUUCUCUAGUUCUACGGCGUGAAUUCGAAUUCAAUCAGUAAAUUUCGAAUACCAAAUGACAACAAAAAGUCCACGUUUUAUAUUGAAAUUCUAGCUGUACUAAGAGAGGCAAACAAGACGACGACAAAAACGCCUGACCAAAUUAUUGUAACCCAUUCUGAUAAUGUUGGAUAUGUGCUUAGUAUUGCAUAUCUAAUCUGACACAAAUGUUGGACUUGGCCUUUCCUCUAUAUCUAAUCUGACACUUCAGUAAUACAAAGGUUUCGGACAACUUAACAUCGCCCAUUUUCAAGGUGUUUGGUCGUAUACUAUACGUGGGGCUUUUAUAAUCGUCGCCUAUUCUUUAUUCUCUUUUUUUCUUUUCUUUUAAUUGCACGACCUGUUAUGGUUUUUAAUUUCCUUUUGAAUUGGUUUUUAUACAUCAUAAAUGGUUUUUAGGAGUUUGCCUUUUUGAUACAUCCAAAUGAAUGGCAAUGCAAAAUAAACUUGUAAUUAAGCAGCCGCUGAUGAUCCAUUAGAUACAAAGGUGGAGACAGAGUGUUGAUUAUGGGUUCGAUCGAACUCAAUAAUUUUAAUUAAAAUUAUGUAUUUAUCUUAAAACAUUCAUUAAAUAAGAAUAAAUUAUUAAUUUAAAAUGAUUCAACUUUCGAACCCAUUAGUAGAAAUUCUGGCUCCGUCUCUAAUUAGAUAAGUGUAGCAAUAUUUCAUUUUGUGGCAAAUAUUUAGUCGCAUGUGUUAACAUCAAAUCAUUGUACAGAAGACGUUUGUCUUUCAUACUCACAUUUAUAACUUAACUGCCAAAAUUAAGUAAAAUGUUUUCCGACUUUAAUUUUUUUGAGAUGUAAUGGUUACAUUGCUUAUAAAUAUUGAGUUCCGAUAAAUAGUUAAUGUUGCAAAAUAUUACACUCAAUGAAUAUUGCAUGCUUAGAGACUAGCGUGACAUAAAUUUAUGAAGUCCAUUGUGCACUGGAAUUUGAUAGUUGAUCCUAUUUUUUGAGAUGUGGGAUAAUGAAGGAAACUAAGAUAAUAUUGUUGUAUACGAGCAUUGUCCAAAAUGAAAAAAUUAAAAUUAAAAACUCAGUGAAACCAACUUCAUAUUAGUAAAACAACUUGAAAGAAAAGGUGCUGAUUGUGCUCGUAAAUCGAAGUUUUUUUUAUAUAUUUUGGUGCCCGGAUAAGCUAGCGUUCACCUCGAUUAAUAUUACGGCAUAUCUGUCACUUUUCGCCAGCAACAGGUUCUAGGUAACUCUAUCUACAAAUGUUUGGAUAGAUGAGAAGAAAUCACAUUAUGUUUUUUGCGUUCAAUGAGAUUUAAACCUGAGACCUUAUAAUUCUCACUCACUUCAUUGAUCACUAGGUCACACCCUUAAAUAUAUAAAAUAGCAAUUAUAUAAUUAAAAUUUUAGCCCGUGUAGCAAUCAUAUCUCAAAACUAAAUAUGUUACUAGUAUCACUAAUUAAGUGGACGGCCAUGAUUACCUUUGUCUUAAUUCUACCUGUGGGAAUUACAUAUCUUGCUUCUAAGUUGAGUAUAUUACUUAGAUGGGAAAAACAUAGGACAUAGCUUGAAGUAUGAACUACCUUUUUAUUAGAAGAAAGAAAGAUUCUCCAAAUUAAUUAGUUUAUUUAAACAAAUAUAUGCAUGGAGGAUAAGUAGCAUUAAACAAAACGAAAUCAUAUUUGCUUGAAAACGGGAACUUUAAGAAUUAAGCAAUUCAAAUGCAACAAUGUUAGUUUAAAACAUGAUGGUGUGCACUCUUUAGUAAAGUGUUACCUACUUUACUUUUCGAUGCCUAAAUUCCAAUCCAAACUCUAAAUUAUAAUAAAGGAUCAACGAGUUAGGCAAGACCAUUUUGCUUUUGCUUUGACAAAAAGGCACUGCUUUGCUGGGAUGAUUAUAUAAAUUUCUUAAUUAAGUGGCGCUUAAACAGUUCAAAAUUAUUUUGAAUUUCCAUGGGACAGUUGGGUAAUAUUAUUUUAGUAUACCAUUCACUAGGGAAAAAAAGAACUUUUUUUAACAAGGGCAAUGAACACAAGAAAAGUCCCUUUUGUCCCAUGUGUUGAGGACAAAUGGAAUUAGCUCCACUGAAGUAGGCAAAUUGGGUCAAGACUGGGUCCAAAUUUGAGAAUUUCAAAUGUCUCAUACGUUAGUGGAAACCUGAAAUAAAUUGGACCAACUCAAAGGGCCUAAAAAUUAGGAUUUUUUUUUCCUUUUUUUCUUUUUUAACUGAUAAGAAUGGACCUUGGCCUAACUCAACCCCAAAAGCUAGCUUAUGAGGUGAGGAUUGCUCAAACCAUAUAAGGAGACCAAGGACCUCAAAUCCCUCCGAUGUAUAGAAACAGAACACAUGAAUCUAACUUGCAUGGUCAUACCUCCACAUAACUUCACUGCAACGUGUGACUCUAUCCAAACACUGGUCCACAUGAAACACCCCAAGUCACUCUGCUCGAAAUUGAUGACCACGCGCAAUUGGUAUCUAGAACCAAUAUAAAUCAUCAUCACCACGGUGAAUCAAAUGCAUGACACCACACAACCAAAAAGUACAUAACCGAUACACCAUCCACCGAUCAAUAUCUAAUACUUCUCUUGCUCGAGCUCCACUGAGUGACUCCAAUAACACCACUCUAUAUGUGCCUAUAACCAACAAAUCCAAAUGCCCUGCAACACAGAAAAGUGACUCAUGUAUCUCCUCAGAAAACUUAUAGAUUCAAUAACAAUCAAAUCACACAUCCCCCUCAUUGGGCCCCCAUUUAUGUUGUCCACGCUCCAGAGAUCUGGGCGUGAGGGGGGGUGUUGAGUUGUCCCACAUUGGAGGGAUUUGAGGUCCUUGGUCUCCUUAUAUGGCUUGGGACAACUAAACAUUAAUACGUAUCAAAAAUUAUUUAUAUUCAGUAAUUAUAAAAUUCGUACAAUUUUUAUAUAUAAUAUACAUAAAUAUAUAUUGUUAUAAUUUUAAAAGCAGCUACGUAAUAUUAAUUUUCCUAAAAAUUAAAAUUGAAGGUCAUCGAUCAUCAUGAGCAAGCAUCGAUGGUGCAAGAUAACAUUCCCAAAACUCUGCAAAAUAGACCCUUAACUUUAAGAUAAGGGGUGUAUCCUAACAAAGGAUCUCAAUGAUCAAACCUGACUAUUCUUUAAAUAAAUAGUUAGAUAUGUAUAUUAUAUAUUCAUAGGCUAUUUUUGAUUUAAGUGGUCGGAUAGAUAAUUAUUUGCAUAAAUUAUACAUAUAUUAUAUUAUAUAUUAUACUUUUACAGUUUAUUUUUUAUUUAAGUGGUUUGAUAUUUGGGUUAAUUCUUAGAAAAAAAUACAAGUUGAUUCAAAUAACUACGAGACGCUUCUAAAUUUCCUCGUUAAGUCAAUUAAGGUUGUUGUUUGACACAAUGAUUAGCUGACUUACGCGCAUAUUAUGUGCUUUCGCCCAACAAUUGCUGUCGAAGCUAACUUUUGUUGGAAAUGGCGUCUGAAAUUGUUUCUCCAGAAAGAAGAAAAGAUAAGUUAUAAUGAAAAUGAUUAGCUGACUUGAAAAAGUGGGUGGCCAAAACAUGCCAUUCAAGAGUACCAUAAGAUAUAGUAGUAUAAUGUUUAUGCUAAAAAAAGGUUCAUAAAAUAAAUUGUUAAUUAUAUAACAUGUCUUGUACAGUAUAAACUAUUUCUCAGGUUUGAGCACAUGCCUUGUCAAAAUACAUACACACAAAACCUGUGACAUGCAUAUAAAGCACAUGAAUACUAGAAAAAAAUGAAUUAUUAUCUGCAGUUUCGUGAUUCAGAUCAGGAUUGACUACUGAGUAAUGUGAAAUGAAUAUGGACUAAAUUAUUAUUUUUUUGAACGAGUCAAAAUCUGUUUGAUUCUUCGAACAUGCCACAGCUCCAACAUUUCUUCCUUCUUAAUUACUUGCUAGAUUUCCAUUUUCCACUAUAAUUUUAUAAUAGCCAUGGAAGGAUCUCUAUGCUAGCAUUUAAUGAUCUUUUUGUCGUAUUACUCUUGCACUAAUUUUGAAAGAUAGGCAAAAUUAAACUAGAUGGAAUGUUGAAAGUUGAACCUUGUUUUGAAAGAAUAUAUAAAAGAUUUUUGUCCGUGCGAUACAUGAACUAUUUUAGUUCAUGAAUAUAUGAAUUUUCUUAGUAUAUAUAAUCAUUGAAGAAGCAGAGGAAAAACUUCGAAAUUAAAAUUAACAUACAUAAAUGUACUAGAUUGGGUCUAUGAGUCCUACACCGGCUUUAUAGCGAUUGAAAUUUCCUUUCAUAUGGUCUUUGAUCAAAGGUGAAGCUAGAAAUUUUAGUUUAUGGGUUUUGAACCAUAAUUCCUUUUACUUAUGAGUUUUAAAUAGAUUAUUUAUAUAAUUUUAAUAAAUGUUAUAACACAAAUACAGAGUUUGAGCUAAAAUUAUUUGGUUCUGCCGAACCCGUAACUGUAAGGCUGGCUCCGCCCAUAUCUUUGAUAAUCCUCAACGCUUGAACUAACUUUUGAGUUUGAGGUAUAUUUUAUAUUUUUUUCUUUAUCAAUAUCUCACACGAAUUCUUAUCAAUAACUACAAGUAAAAAAGCAAAUAACUGGCACCAGAUGCGAUAUGAUUGUGACUGGUGCAAGAUGGAUUCCGAAGGCAGAAUAGCUGACAAUAAAGAUUCGUAAUUUUUGGUAUCAGACAAUAUUUAAUGAACAACUAUUACAGAGAAUUUUAGCAUUCAAAGCUAAUCAUUAUGGCUCCAUCAAUGUCGAUUUUAUUCUUAUUUAAGAAGAAUUUGAUUUUAGAAUCUUGUCUUCCUAAGUAAGACUAUAAAUAGGAGGAUUAACAUCCAUUGAAGGAAGAAAACGAACCUAUAUAUAAAAAGCUAUAAUCUAUAUCCAUAUUACUCUUAAUUCUAACAUAUGAUAUUGCAUACACUCUUGUCACAAAAAAUACUAAAAUUCUUAGUCAUGUAUGUUAUCUUCUUUAAUUUCGUUUGUUAAUCUUAUCUCUUUUUUCAUUGUAAUAAUUAUUAUUUUUUUAUCAAAUUAAUUUAUUUAUCUAUAAAAUACGUUAUAAAUUAAAUUAUACUAUUUUACGGAUAAACACACACCUCUUUAUAUUUUUUAUGUUAGUUUUGCUACAAAGAGUUAAGAAAGCUGGUCAAAGUAAAGGUUGACUGAGAUCUCUAUCGUAUCUUAACCGAAAAAGAGAAAGAGAUCUGAGUUCAAUAGCUUCUUCAAUACUCGUAUUGACCGAGUAGUAGACGUGGGCUAAUCGCGUGCACAAACAGGGAAAUUUCAGUUAGUAAAAAAGAGAGUAGUAGUUCCGGACUGCAUUUGCACAUUUGUAAACUUUCACCAAUUCGGAUUGUUCAUUAUUACUCUUGAUUUUCUCUCGAUCUCUCGUGCCCAUUUAUAUGACCAGACCCUUAACCUGUCCCCUAAGCCUAGCACAUAUAUAAUUUGGGUGCUCGAGCACCCAUUAACCUCGACGCAGUAUGUAUAAUUAUAUAAAAGUUUUGAGAAACCUAUAAAAAUUUACAAAAGCACUCAUUAAUUUUAUGUACAAAAAAAAUUCAGCACCCACAAAUUUGAAUUCCUAGAUCCGCCACUGUUUAGCCUAGCUAUACCAAAUUAUAUAUGGAGUUAACAACAACAACAACCCAAUAUAGUCUCACUUAGUGGGGUCUGGGGAGGGUAAUAUAUACGCAGACCUUACCCCUACCCUUGAAUAGAGAUGUUGUUUCCAAAUAGACCCCCCGCAUCCUUCCCUCCAAGAACUUCCCACCUUACUCUUGGGGAGACUCGAACUCACAACCUCUCGAUUGAAAAUGGGGGUUUCUUACCAUCAUAGCAACCCCUCUUGUCUAUAUAUGGAGUUAACAAAUAUACAUUUCUUUGUCUAUCACUGUUAGGCGGUAAACGGUGUUCUAGUCCCGUUCUGCCCCAUACCAUCUUGUCAAUAUUAAGAUCAAUAGCUAACAGGUGCAGUCAACAGUUAUAUUUAUUUUAAUAUUUUUUAGUUAUUAUAGUAAAAUAUUAUUAUAGAAAACAUGUUUAACAUAAUAUAAAAAUCGAUUCGAAUUAAAACUUGACUUUUAUAGUGAAUGACUAUUAUAUAGAAAUAUUAUUAUAGAGAAAUAUGAUUGUACCUUAAAAAAAUAUUUCAUAAAUAUUGAAAGUAUUUUUAAGUUAAAUUAGUUAUAAGAGACGAAUAAUCAAUUUAACGAAGUAUAUCAACUGAUUAUUAUCAUUUUCAAUAUUUCUAUUUAACGUACAUCACUAUUUAUUUUAAUCGCACAAAUAAUAACUCAGUAAAAUUUUAUAAGUAGAGUUUGGAAAAGAUAAAAUGUACGCAUAAAGAGGCUAUUUUUGAGAGGCUAUCGACUCAAAAAAAUUAAAAAGACAAUAUAUUAAUACUAAUAACAAAACCUAUAAAAAUAAUAAUAGUAUCACAGGUACAAAAGUUUGACGCUUAGAACUGGAGUAAAUUCUUUCUCUUUAUACAAUCUAACAAGCUAAAUGGCGUAAAUUAUUCCCUUCAUACAAGUUAAGAAGCAAAAAGCAAUAAUGACGAAAAAGGAUAAACAAUUAUAUGUGAAAUUUAUUGCAUUUGCGUUAGCUAUUAAGAUUUGAGAGUAGCAUGUAUUGGUUAUUUAUUCAAUUAAAAUACUCGACUUUGGUAGGUGCGUUUGCUCUUCGCUAAUUAUAUUCCAUUGAGCUGGAAGUCGUCUUAAAUCCAAAUAUAAGUUCGCGAAAGAUUAUAAUGUGAAACGUGUUGCAAAAUUUGGGCACGCAAACCAUAUAUUAAAAAGUAAGAUGAUCAAUAUGGCCUAAUUUCCGGCUUCCGACUGCGGAAACAGUUGCUAUUAUAGCUGGAUCAAAGCCGUCCCUAUAGUUGCUGUCGAUGAGAUCAAUGUUCACGCAUUUGCCGUCCCCUAUAUUCUUUUUCUUUGUCAUUAAGUGUUUGGUGUUUGACUCAAAAAUAAUAUUUAACUUUUUCGAAUAAAGAAGAAGGGUCAAAUUGUAGUCGAAUAUAAUAAGUUCUAGAAUAACAACAACAGUUGUGUAACUUGGUAGAGAGAAGAGAGUAAAUAAUAUUGCUCUUCCAAGGUUAAUGCUUUUUUAACAAAGAAAGAUCCCCCUUUCACAAGGCUUUCACUCCCCUUAUAUACUAAGGACUCUUACCCCAGUCACAGGAACGACCACCUUAUAGAAUAUUCCCUAAGCUUGUUAGUGUACUGACGCCAUUAUCGGUGUUGCCUUUCCUUGUAUUGCGGUCGUACCCGGCCAGACGUAGACUCAUGGAUGCUUCAUAUGCUUGUCGUGCUUGUCGUAACUCAUGGUUGAUCAAAUUUAGACCCAUACACUUAGUCCCUCCGCUCGUCGAGGUUACGACCGGAUGCUUCCUUGAUGAGCGGACUCUACGCCUUCUCUUGAGGGGGGGUUUGAUCUGUUGGGAUGUUGCGACGUGGGCCAACAAAAGAUGGAUAUUCUGCUCGGCGGAGCACUGAGGGGUAUACGCCACCCGGGGAUGACGUCAGCUUUGACAUGUAUCAUUAUUAUGCGGAUUUUCGAGGUAGAGACUGACAGCUUUUGGCGCUUCGAUUCUUGCGCUGAUUUGAAACCAGCCGCUUAAUUAUGGCGCUAACCAACCCUAUAAAUAGCUGAGGAGUUCGAUUUUUGAAAAACUUUAGCCACCCUUUCUUCGUAACUUUUCAGUUUCUCUCAGUUGUUCUUGCAUCUUCUAGACUCCAUUUUUCGUUCUUGACCUAAAGCUUUUCCUUUCUCACCCUCUUUGUGUAACUGCUCCCUUUGAACGAAAUCAUGCCAAGAUCGCAUCGUACUGAUGAGGAAUUUCUCGACAUUACUACGUCAACUGCAGCACCUUUCUCCGAUAGCGGAGAGAUGGAGGUAGAAGAAGGCGAUAGCCCUCUCACAGUAGAGGCGGUACUGCCGAGACAUCCCCUGUCUCUUAAUGAUUUCCUUAAAGAUCCACCCUUUAAUCCGAUCCCUGUACUAUCUGAGAUGAUGCAUGCUCAUCUUGACGCCCUCCGCGUAAAGUAUGGCUUUCCUGCCCACAUAGAGAUGACUCUGGCGGGGGAAGACUACGUUGACGUCCAUCCAUCAUCUUUUGCUAUGGUGCACUUAAGUCUUCGGGGUACCAAGGGGAUAAUGGUCGGGACAAAUGACCGGGCGAGCCGUAAAUAUUAGCACAAGUACUUCUUUAUCAAGACUGAGCAUGUCGAUUCUAAACCUGCCGGGUUUCCAAAUGAUGGAACAAAACUCGUAAGUAUCAUCAUCCAUUCCGUCUGCCCAUAUUGUUUAAUUAUUGUAAUCUUUGGAUAAUUGUUAUUCUGCAACUAUGGGUCAUCCGCCCCACCCUAUUGCGGGUCUUAGGAAAUGGGUCACCUGCCUACUGCCCUACGGGAAGGGACUUGGGUGGCCUUCGUACAACGAUAUGGCCCUAGGGUCUCCUCAGGUAAAUUUUUGCCUUGCUACUUCAUAGGUCGUGCGAUCCCGCCUAACCGUGUGAUUUUCUAUGACGACAGGUCGGGGAGCCUCCAGGCGGAGGGCGUUGGUCCCUACUUUCAGACGAGUCAUUACUGCCAUGUGGAGGUGAGAAUGGACGGGUCCAACCGUCACGUGAUAAUUCCGAGGAGCUACAACUUGUUGUUGAAUAACGAGCAGGUUGUGUGGGCCCUUGAUCAUUUAUGCACCUCUCCUAAAAGCGAGAUGCUUGGGACGAUGAGUGACGCGGAGUUGUCUCAGAAGGUCGCUGGCAUGGCCCUGAAGGUGGGCUUCUUUUUCUUCUUCUUUUGUCAUGGGGUUGAUGUGACCAUUUAUGUUGUAUGUGUUUUCUAACUUUACCUCUCUCUUGUCAUACUCUCGUUCUGGAGGGAGGAUGGACCUCUAUAAGAAGAUGUCAUCGAAACAUCAUCAAUACCGCUCUAAACACCGGGCGAUGUCUGACAUCUACCAUCAGGACCCCUAGUUCUAGGUUUUCCAUGAAGGACUUAAACAACAGGAGGAUCAAUUGGAGCGCAGGGUAGAGGAGCUGAAGGAGAGGGACGAGGAGCUCGUGACGGUUAUCGCCCGAAAUAGCGAAUUGGAGGCCCUUCUUAAGGCGAAGGUGGAUGAACUUGAGUUGAACCAGAGGGUACGACUGAGAACGCCGACUUACAGUUGAAGGUGUCCAGCUUGACCGCUAAGUUAGAUGCUAAGGCAGUGGAAGUAGAUGGGCUCAAGGUCAAUACAGGUUAGAACUUACGGGAGAGAGGUAAGCAUCCGGUCUUCGGAUCGCGGGGUUUGAAGGGCGUGUCAGGGGAUUGGAGGCAGAGUUGGUGGCGCUAUAAGGGAAAAUGGCUUUGCUAAGGUCGGAGGCGGCAAAUCAAUGUUCUCAGCCCUCAGUGUCACUUCUUGCGGCCGGUCAAUGCUCACCUCGUCACUUGUACGAGUUGUGGGUUCAUGUAGAGGCUCGACUCGAUGUGUAUAAGGCUUUUCAUAUCGAGCGCAGGGCGAUAGAGGCAGAGCUUCAGGCGGUGCAUGCCCGUGAAUCACGUGGAUAUGACCCCCUUACUCCUUAUAGGGAAGGUGUUGAUUCUGAUGAUGCAAACUACCUUGCUUUGGAUUCAUGGUAUGAUUAAGCAUGUCGUAUUAAGGACGACGUGUAUUUUUAAUUUGAACCGCUUUUGCUUUGUAAAUUUUUGGCACGGGUCGUGCCAAGUCCUAUUCGUAUGGGCAGAUGUAAAUGAUAUUUUGUUAUAUAAACUUUGCUUUUGUCAGUUUGUCCGUCCAUUGGGAUGUUGUUUCGAUUAUUAUUGUAGAAUCUCGUCAAGAUUCGAUCGAAAUCGAGCUAAUGUUUGUGAUAGCCUUGGUCGUUGAGAUGUUGCUUCGACUGUCUUCAACGAAUCCCGUCAUUGUCAAUGGUAUUGACCAUUUGGUGCCUUGCUUCGACUGUCAUCAAUUCUCAAUGGCCUUGGCCAUUAGGGCCUUGCUUCGACUGUUGUCAAAGUAUCCUGUCGUUAUCGAUGGUCUUGGCCAUUGGGAUGUUUCUUCGACUGUCGUCGAAGUAUCCCAUCAUUGUCGAUGGACUUGGCCAUUGGGACUUGCUUCGACUGUCGUCGAAGAAAUCUCGUUGUCACGCCCCAAAAUCAAGGGAUACGACCGGCGCUCGACCGGGUAGCCCCAGUCCAGCAGACCUAGGUGCCUUUACUAUCUCAUGUGUUACCCUGUGAUUUCAAUACUCAUUAUUCAAGUGAAAUAUCCAUUUAUAAUUAAACACAUUCUUACGAGACAUAAUAACAUACAUGCUUACUUUACGUGAUCUACAAGUUAUGUUGCCCAAAUACGUAAGUACAUAACCCACGUUUCCUAUCUACGGAGCCUCUAGGGAUACAAAAGAGUGUUACAAUACUUGCCGGUAACAAGGCUCCGGCUAUACCUUACACAAAUACCAAAAUAAGACUCCGAAAAAAAACCGGAAUGAGCAACGCAUGGCCCCGAGAGGAAAGGGGCUCACCGAUACAACUGAUGAAAAGUGGAGGAGGUGCUACUGUCGGUGGACUGGAGUACCUGCUAUAGAACCACCUACAAUCAUCACAAGAAUGUAGAGCCCGACGAAAGGGACGUCAAUAUAUUUUAAUUGUACUAGUAUGUAUGAAUAAACUUUAUCCCAAGCAAAACCAAUCAAUACACAGAUAACGAACAGUAGUAGAAUCAACAAUCAGUGCACAUGAAAGGAACAACCAAGGCCAACAUUCUCUUCUUUUCCCCUUUCAACGUCAUUUCAUUAUAUCAAUGAUUCACAAACUUUCAUUUCAAUAAUGAUAAUGAUCACAAUUCAUCCUUAUUACCUCGGUCACCCUUAUUACCCCUACCCACAAUUUAUCAUUUUGUGUAGCGGCGUGCAACCCGAACCCACCGGACAAUCACAUUUCGCACAAUAACAAUAGUUCACAGUUCAAUCACAUAGCUUCAGACCAUCCAGAAUAUCAUUUCACAACAACAAUAACAAUUCACAAAGAGUUUUCAUUAACAUCAGUACCAUUUCCAUCAUAUAUAACAGCCCGCAUACAAUUCAAGUCACAACGAUAAUUGCCCACUACAAGCCACACAUGAUAUUAAAUAGUGCAGUAAACUUACCUUACUCAUUGGAUAACUAAGCCCUUCCCUUGGUUCUUCAAACUCUUGAUUUUACCCUCAAUUAGAACUUGNNNNNNNNNNNNNNNNNNNNNNNNNNNNNNNNNNNNNNNNNNNNNNNNNNNNNNNNNNNNNNNNNNNNNNNNNNNNNNNNNNNNNNNNNNNNNNNNNNNNNNNNNNNNNNNNNNNNNNNNNNNNNNNNNNNNNNNNNNNNNNNNNNNNNNNNNNNNNNNNNNNNNNNNNNNNNNNNNNNNNNNNNNNNNNNNAUAGCCGACCCGAAAUUUCCCUUUUUUGGGCUAUCAUUUUAACAAGUAGGUGACACACCUACUUGUCACCUAGCAGCUUGCGCAGUCUCACGAAAAUAGUUAUAUCCCUCUACUCCGAUAUCGUAUUGAUAAACGAUUUAAUACGUUGGAAACUAGACUCAUAGAUCUUUAGUUUUGCAGGUAGAUCACCCCAUAAUUUCUUGUAAAUUUGGAGAAAAGCUUUGAAAUAUUUGACCUAAUAUUUAAGUAAAAUUGUGAACCUAAGUUGUGACAACUUUUGUCGAUUUUUUUUCCAUAACUCGUUUGACUUCAAGACUAUGAAACGGAUAUUGUAUGAUUCAAAUAUAUUAAAAUAUAACCUCUUGAGUGUAUUAAGCACCUAUAGUUUUACCCAAAAAUACGAGUUACAACAUCCUUGAUUCGUUUAACUUCUAAUACUUAUUAAUCACCCUUAUACNNNNNNNNNNNNNNNNNNNNNNNNNNNNNNNNNNNNNNNNNNNNNNNNNNNNNNNUCUAAUACUUAUUAAUCACCCUUAUACACCCUUGUAUCACUUAAGAUCAAUAGGAUUAACUUCUUAUCAUCUCAAGGAUAAUUCCUUCUUAGAUUUAUGUUAACUAAUGUAUUGCAUGAACUAACGCGUGUGGAUAUGGGUUGUAGCAAUUUUUUGUGGCUAUUGCACCUUCGUGCCCAUCUUUUCCAAUACGUACACUAUCUCUGAAGGAGAAAUAUAAAAGUGAUGAGCGGAUAAAAACGGAGGUAUACCUCUUUCGAUUCGAAGGGGCGCGGCGUGACAUAGCAUAACAUAUGUAUGUCUUGGAGGGGGCGGGUUAGUUGUUUUGACAUAGGGUUGAUGCCUUUCUCGAUUGAAAUAUGGGGGUUGAUCCCUUCGCCCCUUGUUACGCCGGUCUAUCAUUGCCUCAAUCUGUACUACGUUAGUCAUUGAAUUGGUCCAUUCAGAUCGUCCUCAUCUGCCUUUACCUUGGCGCAAUAGGUGUUGUGAAUAUCUUCCCAAGUGGUUUGGGGAGUGGGAGGAAUUUCAUGAGUCUACUGAGUAACUUUUUGGUUGCUUUGGAUUGCGGAGUGUUUUGUUCUCGUUUUCCAUUUCUUCCAUUUUCUUUAAGAUGUCCAUGAGCGCAGCGUCACCUGCAGUAGUGAAUGGGUGAGUGUUGCCCGUUUGUGUGAUGUUUGGCUCGUUGGUGUUAGUUGUGAGUUCUGCAAUCGGUAAGUCUUCGACGUUUCCUUGAGGGGAUUUUUCGACUAUGUCGAUAAGAGCACUCGUCAACCAUUCCUCUAGCAGCUUUUUGAUUACUGGUGGUGUUUCUUUCGUUGUAGACGCGAAAGCUUCCUUUCGCGUGAGACUGUUAGAUCUCUGUGUGGAAAGGGUAAGAUUCCUUCCUCCGGUGUAUCCCCAAGCGUUGUGUUUUCGGCAUCCCCUCUGCCGCCUUCGUUGAGGGAGUUCAAGAGGUUGUUUGAGACAUCUGCUAUCAUCUACAGCCUUGCUUCGUUCUCCACCAUUGUUAGUUUUUUGGUGUACUAGGAACAUUAAUCGUUACUUUCAGGAGCCUAGAUGAGAACUAUGAUUUCAGCUAUCAAAAUUUUCAUAGAUGGCGUCAAAUUGUUUGAUUAUAAAAUAAUAUCGAAUCUUUUCGGAUAAAUCAAUUAAAGAUGAAUGGAUAAACCGUAGCCGAAUAUAAUAAGCUCUCGAAUAACAACAGUUGUGUAACAAUGAUAGAGAGAAGAGAAUAAAUAAUAUUGCUCUCACAAGGUUAAUGCUUUUUUUUUUUUACAAAGGAAAGACCCCCUUUCACAAGGCUUCCACUCCCUUAUAUACUAAGGACUCUUCCCCGUCACAGGAAUGAUCACUUUAUGAUUUGAAGAAUAUUCCCUAAGUCUGUUAGUGCACUGACGCCAUUAUUGGCGUUGCAUAUCUUUUCUUGUAUUACUACAGUAUCCGGCUAGACGUAGACUCAUGGAUGCUUCGUACGUUUGUCGUGCUUGUAGUAAGUUAUGAUUGAUCAAAUUUAGAUCCAUAAUUUGAUUUCAAACUAAUCUUAAUUUGCGUUGAUUGGGGAUUAGAGAAAGAAAUGUUUCAUAACAGACUUCUUUUUAAAAAAAAAUUUAAACUCGAACCUUUAAUUAAAAUGAAGGAAUUAUAUUUAUCGACCACGAACGUUAGCGGUGCCGUCCCUCGUAUCCAUAAUGCCGUUCAUCCACUUACCUCCAAAAUCCUAACGUCCAAUUUCUAACCCCAACAAAAUCAUGGCCCACAGUAGAUACUGGAUCUAUGCAGACGUAGGUAGAGGGAUUUAUUAGUAAGUGCGCCUUACUGUUUCAUCUAAUCUACUUGAUACUAUUUCAUUUUUAAAGUGUUCUAUUUCAAAUUCGUUUAACUAUUAAAACCUAAAAGUAUGGAAUAAUGGAAUAAGUUUGGAUUUUUUUUUUCUCAAAAUAUCUUUUACACUUGGAAUCUAUUCAAUACACGUCAGAGCUUCAUUCAGGGCAACGGUAAGUACACGACGAUAUACUACAACCAACGAUAUAAACGGACCUAGAGUAGGAAUUGUGCAAUUUAGACUUUUCCUAUAAAAAAAUUGAACUAUGAGCCCGUUUGGCCAUAAUUUUUUUUUAUUUUUUUUAAAUUAGUGUUUGGCUAUAAAAAUUUUAUUUUUAUUGAAGAUGACUUUUUGAAUUUUUUAAAAAAUUAAAAAAUUCUAAAAAACGAUUAGACUCACAAAAUUAAAAAAUAAUCCUAAAUAAUAUUCAUGUCCAAACACAUUUUAAUUUCAAAUAUAAGUUGUACUUAAAUUUUGUUUUUACUUUUUAUAGAAUUUUAUUAUUCUUAUGUCCAAACGCCACUAAUCAUUUAAUUUUUUCACUAAUAUAACCAAAAGUGACCUCAUGAUUGGAGACUUUCUUAAUCGGGAACUUUUUUAACUAUCAUUUAAAUUUUUUAGUAAUAUAACUUAAAGCAAAAUCACAACAAUUUGAUGGAAUCAAAUAUCACAAUAUAGAAUGAAAUGAAGAAUACACCUAAUGUGUAAAUAAAUUAUAGGCUUGCAAACAAUUACAUCCGUUACUAGAGCCUAGAUCCGUCAACGGAGAGUAGUGGCUUGUGGGUCAACUACAGUAAAAACGAAAAACCAGUUAUUUUAACCAUGGUAAAAGAGUGAAGUCAGGCCCAAUAUAACAGAGUCUCAACCCUCACUACUCUCCUUAACUCUGGCGCUCACUUCUUUCAAGUUUCCUCUCUCUCGAGUUUCGUGUUUACCGAAACUAUUAAACAAAUAAACACUCACACUGCUCCAUUCCUUUCCUGCUCCUCUGCUUCUUCUACACUUACUCUGUAGAUGUGUCGCAGAUGCACGUAAAAAGCUUGUGAGAGAUACAGAGGAGAAAGCAGUAACUUCUCGUUGCGCUACAUCUUUCUUCGUCGGAAAUGACAGUGUUCGGACAUUCAGGUGUCGGAGGUGGUUUCCUCGCCGGAAAACAGGUUUUUCCGGUGCACUAUGAGGUUGAAGUUUCCCGUCGUCUUCUCCAAGCUUCGCAUUCAAACGAUCUGAUAUUAGCUCUCGAAUGCAUCGCCGAUCCGUUCGUUGACGUAAAUUUCGUCGGCGAUGUGUGCUUGAAGGUGAGAAAGGCGGAAGUCGUGACACACGACGAGUUGCCGAACGAAGUUAGGAUUGUAUACGAGGAGUUUAAAACCGACGUUACGGCAUUGUUCCUCGCCGUUCAUAAUGGAAAUGUUGCUCUUGUUAGAAAACUACUGGUAAAAUAACCUCAGCUUUGCUCUACAUCUUUCAAUUAGUAAUAAAUUAUUGUUGUUGUUCCAGUGUUUUGCCUACUUGAUUUGAACUGUUUUUUAUUUAAAUCACUGACUAUUCUUUCGUGUGAUGUAGCAUGUUUAUAUUCAGCUGAAACUUCUCCACCUGCAUUUCUGAUUAUCUUAAAUGCAGAGCUUUGGUUAGGACUUAUGAGUCUUAUGAUUAGAGUCUAGACAUUAUGGCGAUCUUCUCUAAUUAAUGCUCCGUUAAAAAUUUAAAGAAUUUACAUUUUGCAUCGCCUUUUAUAAUAAUUUGAAUUUUGAAUUUUGCUGGAUAAGAACUAUAUCUUUCCGUCCGGUCUUCUGUCGUUAUCUUACUGUAAAAGUAGCUGAUAAAGCUCGCAGUUAAUAUCGAACUAUUUUGCCUUACAAUUUUCCUUUAUUAUUUCUGCAUUUUGUUAACUUUUUUGUCCUAGUCUUUUUUCUUUUGUCCCUUUCGACCAUAUUAUCGCCUGUUUUCUCUCGACAUCUUUGGUUAGAAAUUUUUUUACCUAUCAAGGAAACAAAGAAACUUAAUUUUCAACUACUUGAUUAUGGAAAACGAUGUCAUCUAUUUUCUCAGUACUUGAUUUAACCAUCGUCACGGUAACUUGACUUUUAAGAUUGCCUAAAGUUACUGUUAGCUAUUUGCUUAAUUUUAAGAAAAAAGGUCACCUUUUCCCCAAUACUUGAUUUACCUAUCUCAGUGCAGCUUGUCUUUUAGGUUGCCCAAAAGUUACGUUCAUUAAACCGCAGUAUAGUAAUUCUUUUACAAGGAAGAAGAUGACUUUGCUUUAGUUUUUCCCUACAAAGAGUUUUGCCUUAGUUAAUUACUAAUAUGGGAGCGUUUGUAAUUAGAGGUCGAUUAUUUGCCAUAUUUUUAAUGUAAUUUUCUUUUUGUGUAUCUCUUUUCACUCUCCUUGUUUAUUUAUUUACUUACUUACUAUUUAUUUGCGUUUCCUAGUCUUACAAUUUUUCGUCUCGCUGCUUGAGGUUUUCAGCUGUUGUUCAAUUUUGGGUGAUAACACUUGUUAGUAAAUGAGUCAAUCAAGAGAUUUCACAAAUAUUCUUUUCAAAAGCAACAUUCUGCUAUCAACUGCUUAGCUCCUUUAUUCAGUUUUUUUAGCUGAAACAAGGUACUAAAUCAUGAAAUCAGCAGAGAAAUGCUGUAAAAGUGAAUACAGUAAAGCUCAGUUUGAGUGCUCAGUUCCACCGUGACAUAUGUACCUUGACUCACUGAGGUCCUGCAACAUAUGACUUGCAAUUUUCCUGUUGCAGCUUUUCCCAUAGAAGUUUUAAUUUCUGUUUGUAUCAGACUCUGAUGGAAUAAUAUAGAAAACUAGGAUUAAAAGGCAUUUACUGGAAUCAUUUGAAAAUUGAAUUGCGUAGGUAACAAUGAAAAUCAUUCAUGCAGUCCUAAAUGUGAAAAAAAUCAAAAACUUGAAGCUGAAUGUUUAUCAAGAAAGUUGAUAUCAUGUUUGAUUUUUUUUUUGAAUCUGAUUAGGACAGAAUUAGGCUCUGUGCUUUUCCCCUUGGCUCAUUUUCCGUUCACUGAUAUAAGAGUGCAAGCAACUAGUCCUGGAAACUGAAUAACAUAGUUGUUUAUCUUUCUUAUCCCUUAUUUGUCUAUGGUUGUCUCCACGCACAUAUUUGCUAGCUGAAUAAGAUUCCUUGUCAACUGUGAGGUUCAUCAAUGUCAUCCUUUGGAGUUUUUUGCUUCCUUCUUUUCCUCAUCAAAUCAAGCUCUGCGCUCCGAGUAACUUAUAAUAUAGUCUGCCAUUUUUCUAACAUUGCAGAGUACCGGAGCCGAUGUAAAUCAAAAACUUUUCAGGGGAUUCCCAACCACAGCAGCAGUGAGGGAGGGACACCAAGAGAUCUUGGAGAUGCUAAUUAAAGCUGGGGCAUCUCAGCAGGCUUGUGAGGAAGCUCUGUUGGAGGCCAGCUGUCAUGGGCAUGCAAGAUUUGUCAAGCUGCUGUGUUAAUUAAAGCCGGGGCAUCUCAGCAGGCUUGUGAGGAAGCUCUGUUGGAGGCCAGCUGUCAUGGGCAUGCAAGAUUUGUUGAGCUGCUCAUGGAAUCAGAAAUGAUUCGACCUCGGAUUGCUGUACAUGCUUUCUUCACUGGAUGUUGCCGUGGAUUUGGAGAUGUUGUGGACACUCUCCUUAAGGUGGAACAUUAGACUAGCUUUAUGAUACUAUAUUUGUGCAGGAUAUCACUAAUGAUAAUAUGACACUGAAUGAACUUCUAACAUUAAGUCAGUUGUAUCCAACUCAAGUUCAAAUUACAAAACAUCUAUGAUAUGAGAUAUGCUUGUCAUCAUUUUUGCAUUGCUCUCCUUGCUGAUACCCUUAAAUGCUAUGUUAUGAUACUAUAGUUGUGCAGGAUACCACUAAUGAUAAUAUGACACUAAAUGAACUGCUAACAUUAAUCAGAUGUUUCUAACUCAAGCUCAAACUACAAAACAUUUAUGAUAAGAGAAAAGCUUGUCAUCAUUUUUGCAUCGCAUUCCUUGCUGAUACUCUUAAAUGCUAUUUGCUACAAAUUAGCAAAUUCAAGUGGGUUCACUGCUAUGAGCCGCUUGAUAUAUAUGAGAAUUAUAUUCGUGUAUACAUUUUUUUCCCUCUCAUAGCGGUGAUGUCCGAUCCAAUUUGUGUGCACCCUGAUCUAUACAUCCAGCAACCUCUUUAAGUGUUUAACCAUUGUACUGUGCUUUGGUUGCUUGCUCUGUACUACUCUUGUAUCUUUCUUCUUGGGAGCAACUGUGGCCACCAUAUGCAUGUCGUCAAUUUCUUGACACUAUUGUUGCUUGCUUGAUGCAGUGUGGAGUGAAUGUCGAUACCACAAAUCGUGUGUUGCUCCAGUCAUGCAAACCUUCUCUGCAUUCAAAUGUUGACUGUUCGGCGCUUGUGGCUGCUGUUGUUAGUAGGCAAGUCUCUGUAGUUCGUCUACUGCUUGAGGUAAUUGCCUCGAAAUGGAUCACUAGUUAUUGACUAAAUGCUUCUCAAAUGCAAUGCUUGACUUCCUUAAUAUACUCAGCAAUUAACUAGAAUCCUCUUCCCAUUUGUAUAAAUCCUAGUUAAAAUUUGGAUAUUUUACUCAAGAGUUGAACCUGAAACUCCACAAAAAAAAAAAAAAAGAAUUGAACCUGAUGCAAUGUCUUUCAUCCCAUAGGAAACUGAUAGGGCAAGCAGAUUACUAUUGUCUUUGAGAAUUUCAUAUUGAGCCAUGUUUAUUUUUACUAUUGACUAACUUGGCCUUCCCCUUCGUUUUUGGACUCCCAAGGCCGGCGCAAAAACUGAUGGCCCAGUCCAUCUUGGAGCUUGGUCCUGGGAUGCAGUUUCAGGUGAAGAAUUUCGAGUAGGUGCUGGAUUAGCAGAUCCCUAUGCCAUUACUUGGUGUGCUGUGGAGUACUUUGAAGCUAGUGGCUCUAUUCUGCAAAUGCUCCUCCAGCGGCUCGCCCCCAGUACACUUGGUGGAAGAUCUCUUCUCCACCAUGCUAUUCUUUGUGGUAAUGCAGGUGCAGUUUCAGUGCUUCUGAAAUGUGAUGCUUAUGUAGAAUCUCCAGUUAAAACCUCUCGGAAUGUUGAGUUCCGCCCUAUACAUAUGGCAGCUCGACUUGGGUUCUCAAGUGUUAUUAAAUGUUUGAUUGACUUUGGCUGUGAUCUAGACUCAAGAACGGACACAGGAGAUACAGCUUUAAUGAUCUCUGCGAGAUUCAAGAGGGAAGACUGCCUCAAAGUAUUGACUAUAGCUGGUGCUGAUUUUGGUUUGGUUAAUGCAGCUGGUGAAUCAGCAAGCUCCGUUGCUGAGAUCAGUCGAUGGAAGCUUGGUUUUCAAGGUGCAGUUCUGGAAAUCAUUCAGAGUGGAAAGAUUCCCAAGUCAAGCAACAAAUCUGUCUUUUCGCCAUUACUGUUUGUGGCUCAAUCCAGGGACCUUUUAUCCUUAGAGGCUCUGACUGAACGAGGAGAUAUUGAUCUGGAUAGCCAAGAUGACCAAGGUUUCUCCGCUGUAAUGAUCACCGCUGCAGAGGGUCAUGUAGACGGCUUCAGAUUGCUUGUGCAUGCCGGUGCUAAUGUCAAGCUGCAGAACAAAUCUGGGGAGACUGCUGUUACCCUCUGUGCACUAAAUCAAAAUCGUGAUCGGUUUGAAAAGGUUCUGCUCGAAUUUGCUCUUGAGCAGGGUAGUCGAAACGCUGCAGGUUUCUAUGCACUGCAUUGUGCUGCUCGAUGUGGCGACUUGGAUGCAGUUAAACAGUUAACAACCAGGAGUUAUGAUGUAAACAUGUCCAAUGGGGACGGUUACACACCACUCAUGCUUGCAGCAAGGGAAGGGCAUGGCCGCACAUGUGAAUUCUUAAUCUCUUGCGGGGCACGAUGCGAUAUCAAGAAUGCAUUGGGUGAAACUGCACUUUCCCUUACUAGGAAGACACAGAAAAAUGAGGCAGAGAGGGUGAUACUGGAUGAACUUGCUAGGAAACUGGUCUUAACUGGUGCCCAAGUGAACAAGCACAUAAAGGGCGGGGCACGAUGUGAUAUCGAGAACUCAUUGGGUGAAACUGCACUUUCCCUUGCUAGGAAGACACAGAAAAAUGAGGCAGAGAGGGUGAUACUGGAUGAACUUGCUAGGAAACUGGUCUUAACUGGUGCCCAAGUGAAGAAGCACAUAAAGGGAGGUAAAGGGUCUCCACAUAUGAAAGUUCUUAAAAUGGUUGAAGCUGCAGGAAUAUUGCGUUGGGGAAAAUCAAGCGGACGUAAUGUUGUAUGCCGGGAGGCGGAAGUGGGACCAAGUUUGAAGUUUCAGAAGAUCAGGCAAAGAAAAGGUGAUGCUGAGCUACCUGGAAUCUUUAGGGUGAUCACGACCAAGAACAAGGAAGUGCACUUUGUGUGUGAGGGUGGUUACGAGACGGCAGAGCUUUGGGUGAGGGGAAUAAAGCUUGUGACAAGAGAAGCUAUUUUUAGCAAUUAGAGAUAUUCCUCAGUGAUAGGCACAAGAGUUUAGAUGUAUAGUUAUUAGCUUACUACUUCAUUUUAUCAUAUGCUUAGAAGAGUUCUUACUCUGUAGAGUUUUUCUCUUUUAGUAUCUGUAGUACUUCAUCUUGUAGUACUUCGUCUGUAAAUGCCAUCUUAACGAGAAAAAGAACAGUUGAGAAGAUGAUAGCUUUUAUUGCCGCCCAGUUUCAUCAUGUAGGGAGUGGGGUUUUAGUUUUCUUUCUAUCAAGCUUCAGUUUAGUUGAGUUAUCAUGUUCCCACAACAUAAUCAUCUGCUUACUUUUCAACUUAUGAUAAUUUUCUAUUUCAUGUAAACCUACAGACAGUUGACGUUCCAAUGAAAAUUGAACCAAUAUGGUUGGGGCCUCCGCUUUAAAAGUAGAAUGGAGACUCGCACGGAGUUGGCCCGAGGAGGAGCACUCGUAAAAUGCCCGUGGGCUUAUGUGUGGGGCUUAGUCUUGUGAGACUUAUGUCUCGGCCAUUGAGGCUUACACCCGACAUGCCCAAUGUCCUAGCGCACUAGACUGAUCUAAUAGAACUUUAUACAAUUCUAUGUAAUUAAUUGUAAAUCCUCAAAUUUUCUUAAUAAAUCAUUGACUAUUCAAAAUUAAUUUUUUCUUAAUCAUAAAUCAUUCAGUUGAGAGUACUUUUUGUCAUAACUAAAUAAAAAAUAUUAUUGCAUGUUAUACACUAAGACUGCUAUGAUAGUUAAUUUUAAAUAAAUCUUUCAGUUAAAAUGUAUUUAUUUAUUAACUUUUGUUAUGUCUUUAUUAUAUGAUAGUCCAUAAUUUUUUAUAAAUAUUUUUCUAAAUUUUUUUUUCAUGUUUACGAAAUACAAUACUUAUUAAUUUAAUAGCUCAGUAUUAGCUAGUCACUAUUUACAAAUAAUUAGUUAUCAUGAUAUUGUAUGGUAAAUUAUGUGUCUCUUUAUUAACUUGUUGAAACUUAAAAAUAAAUUAUGCUAGAGAAUCAUAUUUAAAUUGUGAAAUACAUUUUUACGUAUUAUGAUAUAUGACAUACAUUUCGUAUUAUUCAUAGUUGAAUCAUAAUUUAUAAAUAUUGUAAAUAGAUUAUUUGUUAUAAUUUUGUGAUUUUAAUGUAAUUUUUAUAAUUAUUUCUUUUAAUUUUAUACCAUCUUAAAAUUCUUGAAUUUAGUAAAAUUUAAAGAUCCGUGGGAUUUAUGCCCCAUGUCUCAAGGCUUACGCCUCCCCUCGUCAGAGAAAAAACGCAUCGCCUCAUGCCUCCGCCUUUUAAAACAUUGGUUGGGGCAUCUAAGGAAGGAAAAUUUCAUAACAUAAAUAUAUUUUAGGACGUAGGCAAGGUUGUGACUUAAUGGUCGAUGAAGUGAGUUGAAAAUCAUGAGCUCUCGAGUUAAAAUCCUAGUUGUGACUUAAUAGUCAAUGAAAUGGGUUGAGAACCAAGAUGUCUUAGGUGUAAAUCCCAACUAAACUCUUUCUAAAUUUGGAAAUAAUUUUGGUUUAAAUUACAAUUUUACCCUUAAUGAAAAGUUUUUAUAACCACACAAAUACUCUAAGUCCCUUUUUGACUUGUUUAGGUCCACAAAUUACAAAAGUCAACUUAUGCAAAAUAUCCCAAAUAAGUCUCAACUUACCAACAUCUAGCCAUUAGUUAUAGACUUACCAAAACUAGCCAAGCACAUAUAAAAAUUGAAAAAAUCAAAUAAAUAAGGUUCUUUAUCUCAAAGAAUCAUAUGCAAAAAUCACCUUUCAUAUUUGUAAGCGUGAUUAGCAAUAUUAGAUGCAAGACGGAAAGAAAAUUCCAUAAAUUAAGUAGCAAAUAAGGUGAUAAAAUACGGAAGAAAAUAUAAUAUUUCAAAAAUCGCAAAAAAGAACUUUUUCAAUGGGUAUAAUUGAAAUUCAUGGAAAACAUAAUAAGUUAAUAUAUUAAACUUGGGGAAGAUUGGAGGUGAUUUGGACUGGUUUUGUAUCAAAAUUCGUAAUCAAAUCAAGUUCAAAGAAUUCUUCUGUGACACAUAUAUCAAAUAUGUAUCUCACAUAUAAGCAUACAUCUGAUACACAAUUGUUACAAAUAUGAUAUAUAUGUGAUACGCAAAUGAUACACAUAUUAUUUUUUUUGCAGGUUCAGUAUUUACUUCGAAUUUUCAAUUCAAACCACCUCAAAACUUCACCAAAUCAUCCCAAAAUCGGGAUUCAAACUCCAUAAGAUGUACCCAUUCUAUUCUAAUAACACCCUCUAAAAGAAAGCAAAAAAUUAACCUUUUAUUUGCUACAAAUAGCUAAUUCGCUAAUAUUAGUAAUAUUUGACUAAUAUUAAUACUAUUUUAUGAAUUCACCGAUUUUUGUAAUAAAGUGUUUAUAAAUUGGCAUAGCUGUUAAUUUCCCUAUUUCUUAACAGGUUCAGAUAAAUUAAAAGUAAGGGGGUAGUAGGUAAAUUUUUUCUAUUUGAUUCUGCUGAGGUGGACGCCACGAUUAUUAAAAAAUAAAAUACUUGGCGAUGAAUGGUAACUUGAAUUGAAGUCUUGAAGCAUAUGUCGAGGAUCACUCGGACAUUUUACCUAGUCACGUGCAAUGCACACGCUUUUUCAUAAGUACUCAAAUCAGCGAACAUCUUAAUUGCUGCUUCAAAAGAUUGUGUUAGGCACUAGAGAACAAACUACAACUUGCGGUCCAAAAGCCUCCUCUCUCCGAAAAUCUUCAAAUACACCCGAACUCCAAUUCCAAGCAAAUAUCUCAAAAUCCGAUUUACUAGACUUUCUUGUUUACUCAAUGCUUCACACUGGUUUUCACAGUAACACGAUUGGCUACACUACACCAGUGAGCACCUGAGAAAUGAUAUCUUUAAUACAAGUCCGAACCCCAAACCCAAUGCUUGCUUUUCUUUCAAGAACGCGACUACCCCUUUAUCGGUAAUGUUAUCUUCGAUUUAUAUCGUCAUUUACUAGUCUGUUAUUUAUUUUCUUUUGUGGUUUUGAAAAUGCUUUAGCUUUGGGAAUGAUCCUCUAACUAGGGAUGCCUCUUAAACUUAAAUUUGUUCCAUUAAUUGAGGGUAGAAUGCUUUUAUCUGUUUAUUUCCAUUGUCUGCACUGGUGUUUUGGUUGUGUAACCUGUUAACUUAGGUGACUACUUACCAUUUGCAGACUGAACAUGAUCGGACAUUAGCUUAGUUACUACUUCGAACUAGCAAAUUGUUACUAAGACGCUAAGUUCAGCCUCAAAGAAUGGUGACUCGACCCCUAGCGUCUUGGUAACAAUUUGCUAGUUCGAGGUAGUAAUUAAGCGAAUGUCCUAUCAUGUUCACUCAGCAAAUGGAAAGUGGUAAGUUCAGCCUCAAAGAAUGGUGACUGUUGAGUGGAUUUGAGGUCCUUGGUCUCCUUAUAUGGCUUGAGCAAUCCUCACCUCAUAAGAUAACUUUUGGGGUUGAGUUAGGCCCAAGUUCUAUUCUUAUUAUGGUGUCAGAGCCAGGCUCAUCCCAAUUAUUGUUACCGAUGUUGGGCCCCCAUUUAUGUUGUCCAUGCNNNNNNNNNNNNNNNNNNNNNNNNNNNNNNNNNNNNNNNNNNNNNNNNNNNNNNNNNNNNNNNNNNNNNNNNNNNNNNNNNNNNNNNNNNNNNNNNNNNNNNNNNNNNNNNNNNNNNNNNNNNNNNNNNNNNNNNNNNNNNNNNNNNNNNNNNNNNNNNNNNNNNNNNNNNNNNNNNNNNNNNNNNNNNNNNNNNNNNNNNNNNNNNNNNNNNNNNNNNNNNNNNNNNNNNNNNNNNNNNNNNNNNNNNNNNNNNNNNNNNNNNNNNNNNNNNNNNNNNNNNNNNNNNNNNNNNNNNNNNNNNNNNNNNNNNNNNNNNNNNNNNNNNNNNNNNNNNNNNNNNNNNNNNNNNNNNNNNNNNNNNNNNNNNNNNNNNNNNNNNNNNNNNNNNNNNNNNNNNNNNNNNNNNNNNNNNNNNNNNNNNNNNNNNNNNNNNNNNNNNNNNNNNNNNNNNNNNNNNNNNNNNNNNNNNNNNNNNNNNNNNNNNNNNNNNNNNNNNNNNNNNNNNNNNNNNNNNNNNNNNNNNNNNNNNNNNNNNNNNCCACAUCGGAGGGAUUUGAGGUCCUUGGUCUCCUUAUAUGGCUUGGGCAAUCCUCACCUCAUAAGCUAGCUUUUGGGAUUGAGUUAGGCCCAAGGUCUAUUCUUAUUAGUGACUUGACCCUUGACAAGCCUAAACAACUUGGAAAUAUGCCUGAAGCGAGGCAGGAUGUUGGCCAGGCCAAACAACACUUAGGAUACGGAGGCAAGACGAGUGAGAAGGUUGAAAGUGCCCCAUUUAUUGAUUAAACAAAGUUAGACACACACUUAUAGGGCUUAACAAGAAAGACUAACACAAGAAUGGGAACAGUUAGAAACUAAGGUUUUGAUGUGUAGUUGCUUGGUUAAAUCACUUGGCUUCUCAUGGAUAUUAAGGAGAGGUCUUCCCAUAUUUAUAGGCUCUAUUGGAUUGUUCAAGAACCCUCAAAUCGGUGGAAACAGCCACCCUAAAGCCGGUGGGCAUUGGAUAGCCCUAUUUGCCUAAGGGAAACUCCUCCUAUGCCCUUCCUGGUCUUCUGCAACUUGCUAGAUUUUGAGCGGAACCGUUGAACCUCGGUCCUCUAAACUCCAUGCUGCUACACCUACCUAUAUAUCCUUCUCGAACACUCUAGAAUCUUCCAUAGAUCUCUAAUGUAGUUUGCGUUCUCCUAAUCCCUCUUGCACAUGCUCCAUUUUGCUCCAAUGAAUCUCCUAGGCCAUUUAUCAUGCCAAGAGCCUUGUGAACAUGUUCUAUGUCACUCGUGCUCAGGUAAUUGUCACGAACAUAACUUGUGCUCUAGUCAACUAGGUUUAGCACAUUGUGUUGGAAGGUGAAUACGGGUGUUUUGGGCGUGUCAUGACAAUAGGCCUGAUAUCACCACUUUUCAUGACAAAUCAUAAAGGUUAUUUUCCAAUUGCCUUAAUUUGAUAAUACUCCUAUCUUUAUCCUUGGAUUAUGAAAUAUGAGCAACUGGCUUUGGUUAGAAGCCACUCAACACUUUAGUGAUUAAGUUAUCUGUGAGAAGUUGAAACAAAGUGUUUGUGAGGAGCAUUACUCAUGGUUAGAACUUUGAGGGUACAUUCUGGGAUUUGAACUCUAUGAAAUCGUGCAGCUGAAGCUAAUCCAGCUUUCUGGUCAAUGGAUGGACAAAUUUGUUGGUUAUCUUUUUUCCCUGCCACUUUUGUGAAUUACAUCUGCUGAACCCCUGAAAUGUCCAUUUUUUGGUGAUAAACAUGGAGUAUUAUUUUUUGCCAAUUUUCUCUUGCUACUACCUUCCAGUGGUUGUUUAAUAUGAUAUGUAUCACAAUAGCACUUAUGCAGGAUAAAAGCUCUAAAUGCCUCAUUUUUUCCCCAACAAAGGCAUAUGAUUUGCUGAUACUUUUACAUUACAUAGGCAUGUGAUUUUCUUGUACUUUUAUAUAGACAUGCAACUUGGUUUUAUGGCACACUUUUUUCUCUUUAAAUUGGGGUUGAAUAAUUAGUUUAACUUUCUUCAGGAUUGAACUGUCUUUUCCUCAGAAGGUUUUCUUUUGCCAAGCGAAAUAUUGUAAGUUCUAAAUUUUGAAUAUCAAUUGUGUUUACCCCAAUUGAUUGUUGGAACCAUCAUUUUGGAACUCCACCAACUAGUGUUGUUAUUUGGUUUGCCAUAACAUUUGUGCAUUUUCUUUGAUCGACAGCUGAAUCUGAGAUAGAUGGUUCUUUUAACUUAAGGGUGGUGCCCUCAAACCUUGUAGCUGCAGAAAAGGAAGAAGCAAAGGCUGUCUUGACAUUGUUUCUGAAAAAACAGGGUUUAAGCAAUGCUCUUUCGGCAAGAGUUAUCAACAAAUCAGAGCCUUUUAUUGAUCACCUCGUCUCCCGGCUGCAUUCUGUUCACAAGUCUCGCUACCUCGUAGGUUCGGUUUAAAUUGAUUCAUUCUCUUGCUCCUCCACUUUCUUCUUUGCCUGUACAUCUGUGAAUACGUAGAAUGCGCACUGCCUAUAUUUACAGCUUUGUUCUCUGUUUACGUUCAGCUGUCAAUUGUGAAUUUCCUUUACUUUGCAGGACGAGAACUAACAACUCUUGAGAUUAGGGAUGCUCUCAUUCCAUACCUUGAGGCACUCCACGAGGAAUAUGAAAGUAUUCUAGUGGAUGUUGUGGAGAGCUUUCCGAACCCUCCUGUUCUGGAAAAAAUAGAAGAAACUAUUGAAAAAGUAUCUCUUCCUGUCACACCAGCUUCACCUCCUAGUGCUGUCCUCGACUCCAAGAAGCUGAAGGCUCUGGCACGAGUCAGUGAUAUUGGACCGACCGGAAAGCUUCCUCCACAUAUUUUAUAUCUUGUUGAGCUGGGUAUGGACAUUGAAACGAUUAGAGUAAUCACACGCAAGUUUCCUGCUUUUGCCUACUAUAGUCUUGAGGGAAAAAUCAAACCAGUUGUUGAGUUUCUCCUUGAUCUUGGAGUGCGAAGAUCGCAGAUUCCAACCAUUCUCAGCAAAAGGCCUCAACUAUGUGGAAUUAGCCUCUCAGAGAAUUUAAUUCCAACAAUGGCGUUUUUGGAAGAACUGGGCGUUGAUAAAGAACAGUGGGCUAAAGUAAUCUACCGUUUUCCUGCACUUCUCACUUACAGCAGGCCGAAACUGAGAGCAACUGUAGACUUUCUUUAUGAAAUGGGUUUAUCUGCUGAGAGUGUGAGCAAGGUUCUAACCAGAUGUCCGAACAUCAUAAGUUAUAGUGUGGAGGAUAAGCUAAGGCCUGCAACUGAGUACUUCCGCUCAAUGGGGGUUGAUGUUGGAGUUCUUCUUUACCGAUGCCCUCAAACUUUUGGUCUUAGCAUUGAGGCCAACGUUAAGCCUGUUACUGAAUUCUUCAAGGAUAAGGGAUUCAGUAUGUCAGAAGUUGCCACGAUGGUGUCAAGAUACGGUGCUCUAUAUACUUUUAGCUUGGCUAAGUUGAUCUUAAAAUGGAAUUUCUUUCUGACCAUGGGUUAUCCAAGAGCAGAAUUGGUCAAGUUUCCUCAGUAUUUUGGUUAUAGUUUAGAAGAGAGAAUCAAGCCCAGGUUCGCCAUUAUGACUCAGACAGGUGUAAGGUUGUUACUGAACCAGAUGUUAUCACUGUCGGGGGAUGCUUUCAAUAAGGCUUUGAAGAGAAAAUUGAAGAAAUUAUUAGAUAACUAGCCAAUGAUGGCCUGUGGAGAUUUUGGCAUUUCGAUUGUCAAGUCCAUUGAGCAAAAAGUUAUGGUUUUCAGUUAUUGCUAGGUGAAGAUGGCAGUGUUAUGUUUAUGCGAAGUUGUCUCGAUGGAUGCUAGGGAAAUUUGUUUCCUCUUCUCUUGAGGAAUCUUAUUGAGUGUGUGGACAUCUCCUAUGCCUGGUACACAACUGUAUAGACUGAAUUUGUAUACUAGCUCUUAGGCGACGUAUUUUAUCUGUAUUUUGCACUCUAGUAUAGUUGUUAUGUCCAACCACAUUGUGUUUAUAGGUUAGAAUAUGAUGCAAGUUUUGUUGAAAGGAUUUAUUUGCAGUCAUCCAGGUUCUUAACAAAGUGAUUGCUCUUUGGAAGAUCAACACUAUUUGUGAGGACAAUAUGGCUUUAAACAGAAUCCUUUGCUAGAGCUAUGUUUUCUUUUAUUCACAGAUAAUGUAACACUUCUUAGUAACUGUUUAGUUCAGGUAGUUAUAUGUACUAUGUAUGGGAGAGAUCUAGGGAAAUUUGUCUUCCUAUAUUAUUAUGUAAUGAGGCCUACAACUCAAUUUGACUGCUAAAGGGCAGCUUGGUGCACUAAGUUCCCGCUAUGCAUGGGGUCCGGGGAAGAGCCGGACUACAAGGAUAUAUCAUACGCCGUCUUACCUUGCAUUUUUGUAAGAUGUUGUUUUCACGGUUUGAACUUGUGACCUCUUGGUCACAUGGUGCAACUUUAUAAGUUACGAGGCUCCCCUUCAAUUUGCUUGCUUCUUGCUAUAUAAAUCAUGUUUUCCUGUUUAAAAGAGGUCGAAUGUUAUAUUUUAAGAUUUCUUGCUUGAUUUCAAAUAGUCAUUGUGGAGUUUGGAGCAUCUGCAAAGUCUCAUUUAUUCAAGCGUUGUGGAGAGCGGAGCAUUUUCAAGUCCAGAUUUUAAACUAAUAAACUUUCUAGACUUUUAUUUGCACCUCCUGUAGUUGAGAAUGUAUGGAUGGUUAAAAUUCUUUUACUUUUAAUUGGAAGUUUUGAGUUCGAGUAAAAAUAAUUCAGUAGUGUGUGUUGUCUGGUUAAAAAAAUUAUUCGGCAUAAUAUGUAGGAAAAUUUACACAAAUAUUCCAAAUACAUUUCAACUUAUCAACCUCUAUUCAUUAGCUAUAGAUUUAAACAAAAAUUAAAAAACCAAAUAAUAGGGUUCUUUCUCUCAGAGAAUCACAUGCAAAAACCACCUUCCAUAUUUUUAAGCGUGAUUAACAAUAUUAGAUACCAGACGGAAAGAAAAUUUCAUGGACGGCGUAACAAAUAAGGCGAUGAAAUACAAAAAUCUAUAUAAUAUUCCAAAAAUUUAAACAAAAAAGGAACUUUUUCAAUAGGUAUAGUUGAAAUUAAUUGAAAAUAUAUAGAUAAGUCAAUAUACAAGAUUUGAGGAAGAUUGAAGGUGAUUUGGAUUGGUUUUGUAUCAAAAUUCGUAAUUAAAUCUAGUUCAAAAAAGUCUUCUGCGACACAUGUAUCACGCAUGUAUCUCAUAUACAGGUAUAGAUGGAUAUACAUGUGAUACAAAAUUAAUACAAAUAUGAUACAUAUGUGAUACUUAAAUGAUACACAAUGUGAUACACGUAUCAUUUUUUUAUGUUAAGCUUUUACUUCAAAUUUUCAAUUCAAACAACCUCAAAAAUUCACCAAAUCAUCCCAAAAUUGAGAUUCAAGCUCCUUAAGUAUACUGGUUGUUUAAAAAUAGCUAGAUUUGUAAUUGAUCGUUUAAAAAUAUUUUUUCCAGUAGAGGAAGGUUCUCCCUUUAUUCUCUUGAGGGACAAGAAAACAUCCAGGUACUUGAUAGGAAAACUACCAUUUUAUUUUGAUUCCUCUUCAAUGAUCUGGAAUUUCUGCGAGGAGCUCUGUUCGAGAGGAAGCACUGGCUCUUAUCGAAAUUGACCUUUUGGCCAUUACAACAUUACAAUCAGCUUCUUACUUCUUUCCAGAAAGAUUUUCUGCUUCUUAAGAUUCCGUUUAUGGCUAUUAUAUAAUAUUAGAACAUCGUUAUCAAAGAAAAAGUAGGAGAGUGCUGGGCACGAUCUCGAAGCAUGGUAAGAUGUUAUCAUUUUCAUAACCCAAUUUCAAAAGUAAUCAAAAUUUAACCACUUUUUAUGUCAAGAUAAAUCUAAGCGAAAACACUAUUCAAAAUUUGAAAAAUACUCCAGUAUAUUAUGUUGGAGUUCCAGUAUAAAUACACUAGAACUCCAACCUAAUAUAAUGGAGUUCCAGCAAGUAUACUAGUCCAGUAUAAUAUACUGGAGUUUGGAGCACCGGUGCUCCAGUCACUAGUAUAUUAUACUGGAGCCAGCAAAGUAUACAAGUCCAGCAUAAUGUGCUGGAGUUCAUAUACAGGUGCACCGAACUCCAGUAUAUUAUGCUGGACCGGCCUCUAUUGCAGUAAAAUAAUGGAUAUUUUAUAUUGGCUUGAUAAACACUGACUAUUUUUGAUUGACCAAUCCGAAACUGGUUAAAUCAUAUUGUUUUUAUAAUUUGUUUUGCUAUAAAUAGUUAAUUAGCUAAUAUUAGUAAUAUUUUAUCAAUUAAUCAAUUUUAUAAUGAACUAUUUAAAAAUAAACAUUGUUGAUAAUUUUUCUAAUAUGAAUUAGUCAACAAAUGAAUUUCGAAUAUCAAAUGAUUAAAUUAGAAAAAAAAAGGAAAAAGAAAUAUGACUGCUUCUAUCCAAAAAGAAAGUCCUAAUUGCUAAAAAAUAUUCGUUGAUUUUAUUAAUUCAGAAAAAGGGCCAAAGAAAAACAUGUCUAUGAGCUUCUAUCCAAAAGAAAGUUGUAAUUGCUGAAAGAGUUUCUUUGAAUUUUCUCUUCAUUAGCUUUUUUAUUUUUAGUAGGGAUGUAUAUGUAUUGGGUUGGUUUGAGGUUUAUUAAAUCAAAUGUCGAUUAUAUUGAUUUGAAUUGGUUUGAUUUUGUCGGAGUUUUUAGAUUUUUCAAGCUUUUUUAUUACAUAAAUAUUACUUUUAAUCUUGCUUUAUUAAAGUCAUAAAAAAAGUUUUGAUAAGUGAAUAUAUAUUUUAAUAAAAAAAAUUAAUAAACAAAUGAUCUAUUAAAAUAUUCUUGAGAAUUUUUUUUGGUAAUACAUAAUAGUAUUUUCUUAGUUGUCUACCAAUAAUUCUUGGUUGAUGUACGCUUUCAAGGUUAACUAAAUUUAAUAAUUAAACAUAAAUUCAAUAUGAUACUUAAAUAAUGAUAUGUUCUAUGUAAUUUUAUAUUACUGAAGUAUCACUUCAAAUGUGAAAAGAUAUAAGAAAUAUUGACAUAUGAAUAUGAAAGGACAUAGUGAUGAUUAAUGCAUUUUAAUAAUACAUAAUAAGAAAUUGAUAUCCCACUUAUUGAAAUUAAAUUGGGUUUGUUAUUGUUGUAUAAUAAGAAAUUGAUACAACCAAUAAUUUAAUGUAGAUAAAAAUGAAUGCACUUUAUAGUUCUAUUAAAUAUUAUAUCCAAUGAGAUGAUCUCAAAUAGUUCAAGACAUCUUUUAAACAAUUUUAAAUAAAGUCUUUAAAAUAUAUAUAAAAAAUUAUAUAUUUAUAUGUCGGUUUGGUUCGAUUUUUUUACACAAUACCAAAUUAAACCAAGAAUCCGUUUGAAUUGGCUUGUUUUAAGUGUUUUUAAACUAAAAUAACUUUUAAACCAUUUUAUUGUAUUUGAAUAAAGUAUAAAAAUACUUUUAAACGCUUAGAUUAAAAUCUCGCCAUAAUCUCAACGUUUUAGUGUUCUUUCCUUGAGAAGAAUGAAAUUUAUUUUAUAUCACCUCAAAAACUUAUGUCGGACAUCCUUUUCUUCUUUCGGAAGCCACUCCAUAUUCUAAAUUAACAAAAUCAAUGUACAGAUUCAAGAUUAACCUUUUUCUUUAACAGUAAUAAUAAUAACAAUAAUAAUAAUAAUAAUAACAGUAAUAAUAAUAAUAAUAAUAAUAAUAAUAAUAAUAAUAAUAAUAAUAAUAAUAAUAAUCUGAUUAGUCAAUAAUUCUGGAAAUGAACUAGGAAUUGACAGAGGGUGGGUGAUCAUGGUGGGUCAAAACGACAAAUUCAGAACUUAAAUAUUGUUUUUUAUACUCAAAAUAUAUUUUUUAAGUGUAAAAAAAAGUUACUUUUCUAUAUAAAAUCGCGUUUUAUAUUAACGAUUAUUUGGACCAUUAAAGAUAAAACACGGUUCAUAACCGCAUUUUAUAUAAAACGCUUUAGAAUAUCGCGUUUUACCUUAACUUGAAAAAACUGCUAUAUAAAACGCGGUACAUUACAACGUUUUAUGUAAAGCGCGGUAAAGAAUCGCGUUUUACGUGUUAAGUGGACUCACCAAUAAUUGUUCUGCCUUUAACUGACAUAACAAUAAUUCAAAUAUGUAAAACGUUUUUUUAAACCGCGUUUUACUUUCAAAAUUUUGACCCCCGGAUGGGGCAUUGCGUUAUGCAAAUGCGUUAGGGUUAUGAGAAUUAUCAUUCAGAAAUACUCCAACUUCUUGAUAAAUUUUUCUUGUUGAUAAAUUCUCAUGGUUUGUUCAUAAUGUCUGAAGAGCGAAAAGUAAGAGUUUCAUUAUAUUUNNNNNNNNNNNNNNNNNNNNNNNNNNNNNNNNNNNNNNNNNNNNNNNNNNNNNNNNNNNNNNNNNNGGGGGGGGGAGGUUAUGUUGGUGAAUAACUCCAAAUAAUCAUGUUAAGUUGCCACUUACAAUGGAGUACGGUAAACUAGUACAAUUGUUAUGCAAUAAAAUGAGGUUGAGCAAACGUUCGUUGAAUCUUAAAAUAAUCGAAAGAUAUCCGUAUUAUGUGACUCCACAGGUGGUUGCUUGUUAUUCUGAGUUAAACAUCGAAGACGAUGAAACUCUGAGAGAUUUUUUGGGGAUUUCAGAUGAAUACAGAGAAUUUAUUGUGAUAAAAUUGUUGGAAAUGUACGUCAAGGCUGAAGACGUUCUCAAUAAUGAGAUUGCGCAAAGCAAAGAUAAACCUCAAUCAUCGGGUGGUUAUUCGUGAGCAAUUUUAGCCCAAUAUGUUCUGGCUGAAAGAGUUUGACCGGAUCUUAACUUAUAUCCGCGGGCGAAUGAGGAGCGAGGAAAUAAUUUCUCUCCAACUUUACAUAAUCCAUAAAAUGACUGGUAAACUUCAUUUUCCUUUCUGUUACGAAGUUUAUUUUUUGUUGAAUUGAAUUUGUAUUAACACUCGUAUAUUCCAAAGGGGUUACCGCCCAGAUAUAAAUUUUACAAGUUAUGACUCCAUGCCUAGUUGGAGUAUGUAUAGUUUUGGCGUGUUGGAUCACGGUGGUCCAUCCGGGAGUCAUCACCAAAAGAAAAAUGUCCAUCAUGGAAUGUCAACGCAGUACAACAAGUCAAGUGAUAUAGCUGUAUGUAAAGUAUUUAUCUAUUUGUGUAGCUUAUCGUUUUGUUCUUUUUGUGCAGUGAAAACGAGUAACUUGAGGUCCUGAUCUCACUCAAUUGCCCGUACACGACGUAUUUACUCGUGAUUUAAAUUAGCAGAGUCAGAAAGAUAAUAGUGAUUAUAACAACAAUACCGAUGAGUCUGGAGAAGACACACCCUUCCCUGAUGAGGGUGAUGAUGAGGAGGAAGUGGAUGUUGAAUCUAAGCUUACAAGGGAGCAUGCUCCUCCACCUCCCAUUAGACCAAGAGUGUACGAGUCCCACAUGCCAUUUUAUUCAAGUCAUAUUCCCUAGCUUGAUAAUUUUUCAAGUAUACCCAAUGUGGAUGCCCUCACAAGAGAUCAUGAUAAAAUUUAGACACCAAUGUGGGAUGAUUCUAGACCAACGAUGCUAGCAAAUGGCAUGUAUUUUUCCAAUAAAGGCUCGACUGUCAAUGGCUUAUAAAAAGUACAAUACAAGAGAGUGUCGUGAGGUGAUAGAGUGUGAGUCAACUCCGAAGAAAUACAAGGUCAUGUGUCGUAGAUACUUAAUGGGUUGUAACCGCAUGUUGCACGUGAGUAAGAAGGAAAUAGGGUUGUGAAAAGUGGGUAAAUAUAUUAACACCCACAAUUGUGAAAUGGACACAUUCAAUUAGAAUCACUUCAACUUGGAUGUUGACCUGAUUUCUCGUGUCUUGAUUCCACAGUUAAAGUGUCCAUUUGGUAUAAGAUCAAAGAGUGUAUUACGCCCAUCCACCAUGAAUAUGGGUAUACUAUUACCAAAAGAAAGGCAUAUCUCGGGCGCAAGCGUGCAUUUGAAAUUUUUUAUAGUGACUGAGAUAAGUCAUUUUCAUCUUUAGCGAGGUAAAUGGGCGCACUGAAAUAAUUUAACCCCGGGACUGUUGUUGAAUGGAGGCGUGAUUAGAGUCCGGGAAUACCCGAAUAUAUAUUCAGAUACCUGUCCUGAGCAUUUAAACCAGCAAUUGAUGGUUUUUUGCAUUAUCAUUCGGUAAUUUCCAUAGACGGUACUCAUAUCUAUGGAAAGUCUGAUAUUAAGGUGUUGAUCGUCGUUGCAUUAAAUGCCAAUGGACAAAUAUUUUCACUAGUUUUUUCCAUUUGCGCCAAUAAAAGCGAAGAGACGUGGACGCUAUUUUUGAACCACUUGAAGCAGCACGUGUCAAACAGCAUUCAGGUAUUUAUCUAAUAUCUUAUUAGCAUGAUUAUAUUUUAAGUUCAGCUCGAAAUUUGCUUAAAUGGCAAGAACACUAUGCAUACCACCAUUACUGUGUGAGGAACCUAAAGGAUAAAUUUCAGAAGAAAUAUCCCACCAAGGAAUUGCAUGAUUUAACGUGGAUGACUGCAACUUAGCACCAACAAUGCAAAUUCCGGAGGCGCAUGGAAUCAAUGACAGUUAGACGAAAGAGCCUAUAAUUGGCAGAUAAGACAUGAGCUUCACAAUUGGACAUUGCAUGCUGAUGGUGGCACACGAUGAGGAGACCUGACUACAAAUGUGUCGAAGUCAUUCAACGGGUUAUUGAAAUCUGCACGUAGAUUGCCUAUCACUACCAUGGUCUGGAUGGCGUUCAAACAGAUGGCGAAAAGGUUAGUUGAAAGGCAUAGAGCUACAUUGGUAUUGGUGGCUAGGGUGUUGAAUUUAUGCCAAUACCAAUGAGAAGAUUUGAGAAAUACAGGGGCGAGCAUAUUGAUAUUCAUAUUUACAGUAUGAUCACAACGGAGGUGUUUUUAAAGUUCGAACCGCUAUCCGCUGACACCGAAGGAAUAAUCUACACACAGUGAAUGAAGCCAGCAUGUUAUGUUCAUAUGGAAAAUGUACCAUCUACUACAUGUCGUGCGUACAUGACAUGAAGUGUUUUCAACAAGUUGGUUUAGGGGCAACAAGCUAUGUUGAUAGGUAAUACGAUGUUGUUGCACAUGUAAAAAUAUAUAGUGGGCAAUUGCAGCCAUUGGUGCUGAGCAUUAUUGGCCGGAGGAACUAUUUAAAAUGCUGUGUAACAAGGGAAAUUUGUGCAAGUUGCAAGUGCAAAAGAGAAUGCGUAUACAGAACUAAAUGGAUGUUGGUGAUACUGUUUAUGCACGUAAAUGUAUCAUAUGUUUGCAAACAGGACACAACUGUCAUAAAUGUCUUUCAGCUGGUUUGGCUGGUGAUGAUACUCUAGCUUCUGGUGCAAGUUUGUCUAAUGUACACAACUAUAAAGGAUAUAUAAUGUUUUGUUUUCGUAAUAUUAUUUGUAAUAAGUGUCUGUACUUGUUUAUGUUGAAAGAUGUAUCAAACAAAAUUAUAUUCCACUGCCUUGUACAUCUUAUUAUCUAAAAUUAUUAGAAAACUAAAUUUUCAUAGGAGAAAGAUGUUUGGGAUGAUGACCUUUUGAAUUGGGAUGAUAAUAUGAUAGUUCCAUCAUUCAACUUACUGGUAUUAGUAAAGAAGACCAAUACAAACAUUGAAAUUUCAUAACAUAAUACUUCAAGAGAAAAAACACAACAAUCAUAAUUAAAGCAAUAUACAUGAAAAUAAAAAAUAAUAAACAGGAUUCACAUCCUAGUAGAAAGUAAAAAAUGGAUUAGUACAAAUAGGAUAUCCGUCUUCCUUUCACGUCCACAUUGAAGAUAACACGUAGUGGUAAAACAUCAACCAACGUAAAUUUGACUACAAAAUCGCGACAGAUAAAAUUCUCCAACACAAAAAGUCUCCAACCUAUCUUGAACCUUCUUUGAUCACCAAUGCUCAUAUUUACAUACCAACUUUUGCCACAAUGGUGAAGAUACGCGUGUUCUAAUGUUGGAGGAAGAUGCUUGCAAUUUUUUCUUGGAUUAUACUUUUAGAAAAAAGCAUUACUAUUAAGUUUUGAAAAAUAUGAAACUGAAUAAAGAUAUACAAUACUAAUGUGUGUGUGUAUUAUAGAGUUAAGGCAUAAGAAACAAAAAUAUUUUAUAUUAAAGAAAUAAAUUUUAAUGGACAUAAUAAUUUACCGGAUCGUUAUCGUCGACGCAUGAAUCAGUCAUAACCACUUCAAAUGUUACAUGAUUCUUUUAUUCAUUAUCGUUGCUAAUAGAAGAAUAAGAUAGUGCAUCACCGCUAGUAGAAAAGUAAGAUAGGGAUUGUUUGGUGGAGGAAGAGUCAUCCAUAGUUUAGGGUUUGAGUAUGUGAGUGUGUUUUAUGUCUUUAGUGUGGGUAUGUGAGUGUGUUUUAUGUUUUGAGUAUGUGACAAUAUAUAUAGGGACAUGUAUUCAAUAUGUAUAGCGCGGUUGAAUACUACAUUUUGUGUGCUGUCUUGUCAGUUUGAAAAGUUGUCCGACUACCCAAAAGUUGUUUCGUUUCAAAAAAAGUCAUUAUGUAUAGCACGGUUAAAUACUAUAUUUUGUGUGAACAUGCAUAGUGUAGUUAAAUACUAGGUUUUGUGUGUUGUCUUGUCGGUCUGAAAAGCUGACCAACAACAACAACAACAACAACAACAACUACCCAGUACAUUCCCACCAGGUGGGGUCUGGGGAGGGUAAUAUGUAGACGAUCCUUACCCCUACCCUGAAGGGCAGAGAGGCUAUUUCCAAUCGACCCUCGGCUCAUAGAGUUAGGUGAAAGGUCUGAAAAGCUGACCGACUGUGAAAAAGUUAUUUCAUCUCAUAUAAAGUCAAUUGUAUAGCCCGGUUAAAUACUACAUUUUGUGUGUUAUCUUGUCCGUCUAAAAAACUGACCAACUGCAAAAAAGCUAUUUAUUUUCAGAAAAAUACUUAACACCCUAUAUAUAUAUCACAAUCCAGCAAUAAUACAAUGGUAAGGGAAUGAUAUACCAAGACAGAAGGUAUUCAGAUAUUACAAUAUUUGGAGCAUAUAUAUAUAUAUAUAUAUAUAUAUAUAUAUAUCUUUUGUGUCAAUAUGUAUAGCGCGAUUAAAUACUACAUUUUCUGUAUUGUCUUGCCUAUAAAUAACAACCGCAUUUUAGUUAUUUUCUGCGCUUAACAAUGACCAAUAGCAAAAUAUUUCCUUAAAAUCAAGGUUUCUUUUUUUACGCUUUAACAAAUGUCUGAACCCCUUUAUGUACCAAGGUACGAGUGCGGCAAAAAAUGCAUGAUGAAAGACUGUUGGGAUAAUGGUGAAGUUGAACACCGCUAUUAGAUGUGUAUAAACAAGUUUUACAGGGUUCCCGACAAACCUGUUUGUAAAUUUGAGGUAUGGAUUGAUGAACCCUGUCAGUAGGAAUACUACAAAGAAAAGUUACAGUAUCUUCAUCAUUUGACCAGAAAACAGUGGAAUAUGAACGACAAUACAAAUGAGAAGUUGCAGAGUUGAAUAAAAAUCUCAAAGAGGUAGAAGAAGAAAAACAUAAGCUGAAAGAAAAAUUUAAGUGGUUGGAGCAUAGAAUACUAGCUGAUUUUGACUAAACAAUGACAUAUAUAUGUUGAACAUAGUAGUAUAUUUUUAUGUUUCCUAUAUCAUGUGUUUUCAUUAAUUAUACUGAAUUUAAGUUAUAUUAAGGUUCUAUGUUUGUGUUUGUGUUGUAGUGUUAAAUAAAGAAGAAACAAGGUAAUAAAAAUAUAAUUUGCAUAUUAUGUAAGCAUAAAAAAUUAUUAUUAUUAUUUACAUAAAAUACAAAAAAAAAAAUCAAUGUGUCCCACAACCUGUGGGUUUCAAUGCAGCCGUUGGUCUGAGGCGCAUCCCCUCCCGCCUAGGUAUACUAUCAGGAUCAUCCUAAUCACAACGCCUCUUUAUAUGAGGAUGCAUUGCAACAUGAUCGUUAGCAGGGCUGACAGGAUCGGUAGAAGGGUCGUCGGUCUAUCAACAACCUACAAAACAAUAAGUAAGCUUAGUAUAUGAAAAUAUAUAUUAGUAAUGUAUUUGUUAAGUAAAAAAAAUAUUUUCUUACUAUGGUCUCGUCGGGAUCCUGAAUAUAAGCAUCUGUAAUGUCCUUCUCAGCAUCGCACAAAGUGGCCUCCAUGACAGGCUGUGAUGAAGCCUUAAUAAGAAAAUUAAAAAUUAAUUUAUGGCAAAUCAAUGAGAAAAAAAUAAAUUAAAAUUUAAUAGUAAUACAAACAUACCUGCGCUUGUGAAAGAUCCACACACCCGUCAACGAUGAUCCAAAACUCAACCUGUGCCCACUAUCCAUAUCUCGGGUCGGCCGAUCCUUAGUUAUGGUCGAUGGGCCAAAAAAACUGCUCCCAAUCUCUGGUGAAUGUCGUGUCCGUAAUCAACAAUGGAUCUGACGAAGUCACAUGCGAUGCUGGCAGCGCCAGCUAAAGGCUGUACUACGGCAUGUUGUUGGGAUGCUCGUCUGGCUGAGGAAUGUAACUUGGAAGAUCAGCUCCAACUUCCUCACAAGGUGCCUCAACGUCCCCUUGCUGAGGACCACCUCCUAGCUGACCCCCAUGACCCCUGGGACAGCCAUGCCUCGUGGGAUAGCCCUACCUCGUCCCUGUUCCUUCGAGUGUGAGAAAAGCCCUUCCCUGAUGGUAUUUCUAUGGCGCCAUAUAUCAUGAUCUAAGUGCUCAUCCUCUCUAGCUCGAUGCAGUAUCCAGGCAGCCAGCUCUGUCACCUGCCUGCCAUACUCUUACAAAGUGUCCAUAGGAUCGUCGUCAUGUUGCUGCAUCUACAGUCCCAACCGGUGGACAAUGAAGACCAAUAGCCUGCACAACAUGUAAAAUAUAAAUUACAGAAUGCUAUAUUACAGUUAUAAGUAAGAAUACCAAAUAACAUAUCAGUGCCCCGUGCCUCGUGGCGUAUGGAACAUAUUGACUGCCAGCUCGAUGGUUGGGGUUGUCGACGACAAAUCGAGUAACAACGCGGUACUAGAGCAAACAUUCGUGCUCAGUAUCCUGCAGACUCGUUGAUGGGGGAGGGGGCAGAAUCAGGUCAGCUCGCUGAUCGCAUGUAUUGAUCUGCUCCUCUAGCCAUGCCAAAAAUAUGUCGUCUAUCCUGGUCCGAUCAUUCUACUGGUAAUGUGUGGUCUCCCAGGCGGGCGGUGUGUAUACGAGUUGCGGCUUGCCAAACUGGCGAAGUACCUGCUUGGUGUCAUGAUGCUCCAUAAUAUCAAGGCAAAAUAACGGGACGGAAGUGCCCCAUAGAAGUCAGUCGGUCAAGCAAUAAUCGGGAAAACUAGCUAUAAUCAUGUCACUGUAUGGCGUCCAAAUUAACUAUUAAGGAAGAACGAAAAAGUCAGUAUACGGAAAUUGUGUUUGAAGCAAAGACAAUAAACUUAGAUAUACAUUUACCUGUGCGCUAUCUAGCAAAUCCAAUAUAUCUUUACACAAUGAGAGAUUAUGAUGAGCCUCGUUCUCGUGCGUAUGCCGCUGUCAGAGUAUCCACCUCCUAGAUAGGGGGAGACACAUUGGUGGUACAACAGAACUAAUGGUGGUAGAGGUGGCUAGAAUUGCAGAAACUACUCCCAGGCCCAAACCUAACAUAAAAACUUGACGUCAAAUUUAAGAUAUAUUUUUACUAGGUAUGUUAAAAUGAAUAGAUUAUUUGAAUAUAUUAUCACAUGUAGUAGCGGCAAGAAUCCAGCAACCUCACACUUGGUGCCCAUGCUCGCCCGACACAUGCAUCUGUACAAGUAGGCAAGAACAGUAGAGCCCAAGCUAUACUGAGGUAAAUCAUCUAGCUGCUCAAGAUGAUGAAUAGUUUUCAAGCUGACUAGGUUCCCUGAAGUGUUCGGGAACAAGACCCCUCCAAACAACAGCAAUAGAAUCAACCUUGUAUACCAAUCAACAUGAUAAUCCGGUAUAUUGUCUUCGAUUAGAGGAUGCCUUUCCUCUAACCACAGUCGAAUAGUCAUUACUGGAAAACUAUUGGCCCCAUGCAGUAUAGUCUCAUCCUCUGGCCGGAAAACAGUGAGCUGAUGAAGUGUGUGGUAUCCAAUUUUCGAUGUAGAAGAACCAAGUUCUUCUAGGUGUUCUAACUAUUACUGUUUGUGAAAUUAAAAGUACAUAAAAUAAAGAAUACAGUGAUUUUACGUGGUAAACACCUGGUUCAAAAUGUGAAAAAACCAUGACCAGCUACUUAGCAUGAUUUUUUUAAACUUCCACUAAAAUUACUAAGCCAAAACAACAUUCACAGAAACUCUUAGAUGCCUAGAUUUGAAAAAAAGGUCUACCAAGACAAAUAAUUGUUUCAUUGCAUAAAAAGAACAGUGAAGAUUGUUGUACUAAUCUCACAUGCAUAACAAGUACAAACAAUUUAUUCUUAACUAAGUAUUUCUCUUAAAAAUAUUACUCCUUCCCGUUCACUUAAAGUAAUUUUUUAAUUCUUUUUAAAUAUAUUAAAAUUUUUACUUUUUAACAUUAAUUAAUUUUUUUCGUACUUUAAUAAAAUUCUCAAUUGUUACAAUCUCUUCCACAACUUCUAUCCUAUGGGCGAGCAUUCUAGAUAAACUCUUAUUAUAUAAUAGCUUGCAAAUCACACAGGAAAUAUAAGUCGCAUUAGACAAGCCUUGUGCGACAGUGUAACGAAUUUUUAUACUAUCUGUGUAAUUUAAGCUGUUAUAGCAAGUUAUAUGCCACUUGUUCUAGGUUAUAGAUCAAUUACCUUUUAAAUGACUUGAUGGUGUGAAUAUUUUUUACACUGUUGGUGUUUAGAUAUCCUAAUCAUAGUAUGAUGAAUUGGAAAUUGGUGUUCUGCUGAAUUAGUUCUUAAAAAAUGUUGUUUGUUUACAUUGGUUUUGAAUGCACAGUUCGUGUAAUUUGUUUUUGUGUCCCAAAUAGCAGCUAGGAGUUACUUUCUGUACCCAAUGUGUUAUAUGUUGAUCAGUACAUUGAAUAAGCCUUCUUACAACAGUAAUAGCCCGUUUGGUCAAGCUGCAAAAAUGAGCUUAUUUUGAGAAAUAUUUUUUUGCAAAGGUUCUCAAAAGUUCUUUUGGCGAAAAACAGUUUGUAUUUGACUAAUUAGUUUGAAAAGUACUUCUCAGCAGCAAUUAUUGUUGGCCAAGCUUUAAAAAUCUGUUUCUAAGUGUAUUUUUCUCAAAAAUUGAUUCUCCAAAAAAGUGCUUUGGAAGAGAAGUUACUUUUUUCUGCUUCUCCAAUACUGCUUCUGCUUCUCCUCAAAAGCACUUUUUUUCCUUUCCAAAAGUUUGGCCAAACACUUUAAUUUUGGCCAAAAGUGUUUUUGGCAAAAAAAACACUUUUGACCAAAAAUAAGCUUGGCCAGUCAGGCUAUAAGUUGGAUGGUCUGGGCAGUUGUUCCUUUUUUUUUGGAUAAGGUAAAAGUUUAAUUGAUAAAAGUACCAAUAUGGUACAUAAGAUUACCAAGAUUAGAUCAACACCUAUAACAACAUACUUUCAGUUACAAGUUGCUUAGCACAUCCAAAAAUUUCAUAUAUUGAUCUAGGCAAGAGGGGUUGCUCCGAUGGUAAGCAACCCCCACUUCCAACCGAGAGGUUGUGAGUUUGAGUCUUCCCAAGAGCAAGGAGAGGGGUUGCUCUGAUAGUAAGCAACUCCCACUUUCAAUCGAGAGGUUGUGAGUUCGAGUCUUCCCAAGAGCAAGGUGGAAAGUUUUUGGAGGGAAGGAUGCCGGGGGUCUAUUUGGAAAUAACCUCUCUACCCAAGGGUAGGGGUAAGGUCACACUACCCUCCCCAGACCCUACUAAGUGGGAUUAUACGGGGUUUUGUUGUUGUUGAUCUAGACUUUCAACUAAACAUUCCUUACACCAAAAAAAUAAAUUUUGAAGACAAGUAUUCUUUAUUCUAGCAAUGUGAUUCCUCUUGUCCUCAAAGCAAACAUUGUUCCUUUCUUCCCAGAUGGUCCAGAAAAUGCAUAGAGGGAUGGUCCACCAUAAUUGCUUCUGAUUCCUUGAUAACUUUUGCCCUUGCUAGCUGACUAGUAGAGACUUUAUCGAAAAUGCAUGGUCCACCAUAGUUGCUUCUGAUUCCUUGAUACCUUCUGCCCUUACCAGCUGACCAAUAGAUAUUAUAUGUCUGGAGGCAUAGUCCACCGAACACCACAGAUUCAAAAAAAGCUCCCACCACUGUUUAGUAAUUUUACAAUGGAUAAAUAGAUGAUUAGUAGUUUCCAACCCUUCUUCACAUAAGUAGCAUCUGUUACUUAGGCAGAAUCCUUUUUUUCGUAAAUUAUCUUGAUUUAAAUUGGCUUCUCUGAUAGCAACCCACACGAAACAAGCCACUUUAAUAGGUCCUUUGGUUCUCCAUAACAUUUUUCACGGCCAAUUAGAUUCAUAUUGAUCCUUUUGUUCCUGGAGAAGAUUAUAACAGCUUUUGACAGAAUAUCGCAGAUCAUUGCUCGUUGUCCAAAUCAUAAGAUCCUCCUUGUCUUCCUCCAUCACUGUUAUGCCUAGUAAUUGGAGUAAUUGCUCCACUUCUUCCAACUCCCAAUCAUUAAAGUCUAUUCUGGGAUUUAGUUGCCACCCAUUAGUAGAAUAAUAUUCAGCAACAAAACCAUUACAAGUUUGGAAAUGUGUUACUUUAGCUCACACCCCCUAACCAUACUUCAGUCCAAAAUUUGAUUUUCUUUUCUAUUUCCCCACUUCAGCUUUGUAUAUUGAUGAAAUUCAUUCCACAACUUACCGAUACUGCUCGAAAUACUACCUUUUUUAGAGUUAUGAACAACUGCAGGCCUCCAUGUAUUUUUCUUCACAUACUUGACAUCCUUUCCAUCAUUAUAUUUCCUUAGCUAUUUAUAUAAUAAACUCUUAUUGUGCAUUCUCAAAUUUCUAACCUCAUGCCUCCUCCCUUCUUCACCGUCAUUAUCUUUUGCCACUUAACCAAAUGUAUCUUCCUUGAGUGCUAUUCAUUUUUAUAAUUUGGCCGCAAAGCUUAAUUCGAUUCAAUUGUGGCAUACUGGUUAUUCAGAUAUUUCCAUAGUUUGUGACCUAAUAUGUUUUAGAUGCAACGAAUGCUAUAGUUAUACAGUCAGAUAUUACUAUAACAACAUGUCUAUAUAAUAACACUUUACUAUAAAAGUCAAGUAUUUUUGGAAUCAAUUUUCAAGUUAUGCUAUAACAUAUGUUUCCUAUAACAAUACUUGGCUAUGAUAUAAUAUUCGGGAUAAACGAAGCUGUUAUAGAGAGAUUUGACUGUAACACAUACUUCGCGAGACAUUGUAAAGAAAUUGUAAAUACACGAUAAGUAAGCAUGUCCUCCAAGCCAGGGGAAAAAGUUUCCAGGCUUUACGUUGUAUUGUGAACGUUUUACUUCAAAAUUGGGUAAUGAUAGGCAGUGUUAAAUGUUAAAUCUCUAGAAUUCCUUGGAUGAGAUUUCGGUGUGGUGCUUUCCUUUUUUUUUUUUUUGGGGGGGUCAGUUUCAUCUUCACGAUUUGCUGUGUAUGUAUGUAAUCAAAUGCUCAUUGCAUCUUUUUGAUUUCAGAUUCUUGUUGCUGUUUGAUUGGGGCACUAAAUUGUAGCACCUAAAAAGUAGUUCUUAAAAGUAUUAGCAGUUACUUGACUGAUUUUUUUUUUGCCUCAUUCACUGCUUUUGUUUCUUUUUCAGAUAAAAAUCUGAAGGAUGGAGCUCCUGUGGUUACCUACAGAUUUUUAGGUCCCCUGCUCCUGGGUGUGGUGAGAAUAUACUCGAAGAAAGUAGAAUAUCUUCUACAUGAUUGUAAUCAUUUUCUUGUUAAACUUGGUGAUUCUCACAAGAGAUCAACUAGCAAACUAUCAGCUCUAAGGAUUGAGGGUCUGCGUGCUCCUAACUGCUCUAUCAAACCACCAAAGAAAUUUGAACUGGAUACUUUUGAAUUGGAAGUCUUGGAAGAUCAAAAUGCAAGCAGGUGAAAUAUGUAUGUUUUGUUUUUCUUUUUUCCUUUCACGGUUUCCUGAUUGUCGGCUUGGGGUUAAUCAUAAUCUUGGUUUGCAAUAUGUUGGUUUGAAGUGGUCAUGUGGCAUCUCCUGAAGAAAUUAUGCUUUCAGGUACUGUACAUCUCUGUGUUUUUUCAUCCGCGGGUACUUGGUUAUAACUUUUCAUCUUUAUGAUCAGAUGCUUGGAGAAGUGAGCAAACACGCUUUGGCUUAUCUAGCAAGGUAAUUGUUUAAUUUAUUAUCACUUUUUGGUCUUUUAAACACAUAUUUCUCUGCACGUGGAACUACUAACUAGGUUUUAUUUCUGAAGAAGGCAGAAUACCUCACUUUCUGCUUUCUAUUCACUAUUAUCACUCUCAUGCUUAGCAAGAAAUACUUCUGUUCCUUGGAUAUUCCGCAGUUCCUGUUAAACUCGUUGCCAGGACAAAAAAUUAGAGGAUUAUAGACCACCUGGACUGGUGUAACGCAUAUUAUCGUAUCAGUUUGCUAUUUGUAGAUUGUUGUCUGCUGGUCGGUGUGAUUUGUACUUGUCAAGUUAUUUCAUUUAUUAACGUAACUGCUUUUCUUUGAACACGUUCCAGAAAGUGUUAGUGGUGCCUGUGUUCAGUUUGAGGAAAUAACUUGAUUGAUCAAGCUGCUAGUUUCUAAUGGUUACUUGAAUAAGAGUGAGUUUAGGGCCAGUCACCUUUAUUAGUUUUUUCUAAUGAUGUCAUGAGCUACUUGGAAUAUCUCCUCAACUAUUUCCCUGUCCUUUUCUUUUCUAUGGAUUUUCUUGCAUACAUGACAAUUUUAGCUGCUUCUUACAGUACAAGGAAGAUGUCUCUCGUUCAGAGUCUCUGACCACAGAUCACACUCCAGUUAGAGAAUAUGCUCUGAUUCUAUACUUCUCUUAAUAAACAUUGUAGUUCUAGUGCUAAGAGUGUUAACUUUCAUGGUGUAGCGUAUGUUCGCCUCAUCUGAUGGACAAAGAUGUUCACUUCCGCCCAUCACUUGGCUCAGGCCACUUGGCAGCGCUGUGGCACCUUAAUGGGACUAGGUUCUCCUUAGAAGAGCGAUUUGAACCUAUGACAUUUGGGGACCUUGAUUUUCAGAUGACCUCUGAUAAGACAGCUGAUCACCAGACUGACGAGCAGAUGAAAGAGUCUAAUGCUGGGAACUUGGUAAAUGAGGAGCAUUUGUCAUCAUUGGAAGAACACACAGAACCAAUGAUUACCGUAAACGCUGAAGCAGGAACCAGUAUUAGUCAACAAUCUGAGAAAAUUCGUCAGCCAAUUGGGCUCUUAAAACACCCUGAUAGAGGAGGGGAUGUAGGUGACAAAGGACCAGCAGGCGUUGGUGAAUCAUUUUCCGCGGAAAAGCAACGAAAGGAAAAUGCUGUAUCUUCCUCUAGAAAUGGGAAGGAUCGGACUGCACAUGAUCGUUCCCUCUGUAUUGAUGUAUACCCAGAUAUCAAGCUCUCAGGUGAUUCUGGUGGAUCCUUAUCUGGACCCCACCCCCCGAAAAAUAUCAAAGAGAAUAAUAAACCAGAGUCCCCUUUUCAAUCUUAAUUUUUUUUGGUAGCUUGUUGGGUACAAAUCUAAUUUUGUUCACUUUCGAUACUUAAGCAGAUAGGUUAUGUUUCUUAAAACUGCUUUGUCGUUUAACCAACAUCACUUCCAUUCAAUUCAGGAUCUACAUCACCAGAUUUCAUAUCUGUUCGCACCCCAGCUACCAAAGAGCAUCCUUGGAUUUCAAGGAAGCGGAAGUGCAUAUUUGAUGAAUCUAUCGUCAUCUCAAACGCGUAUGAUUCUUCUUGUCUUUUUACCAUUCAAGGUCUGCACUAAGACAUCGUAUGCAGGAUAGAUUCGCAGAGAUGAGGCUUUUCAUUCUGCGGUUCCAUUAGUACGAUAACUGACAAAGAUGUAGCAGUUUGGAAAGUCAUAUAGGCAUGUAGAAGAAUGGACAGUCAUUAUAGUUUCUUCUAGAGCUCUAAAUUUCUUUAGAUCUGGACUGUUGUUGCCAGUGGCGUGUUGAGUUCUGGGUUUUAACAUUUAAAUGCUCUCUUUUCACACUUGUACUAUUCAUCUUAUUGUGCUUAUGUCAUGCAGUUCUACAUGAGAGUUUUCAAAUGUAUCCUGUUUAAUUGAUAGUAUGACAAUGAUGAUGUUGUGGAUACCCUCCAUGAAAGCCGCUUUUUUGGUUUCUGCUGAUAAUUCUUCUUGUUGCAACCUUCUUUACAAAGUCUUGUUAAGUUCAUUGCAUAUUUAGAAAAGAUUGGUGUGACACAAUCCAACCAUCCAGGGUAUACAAGUGCUGGAUCAGUGAUGCGAAUGAUUUGGUAUGCAAGGGAAGAAAAGCCCCUCAUACCAGUUAUCUUGCACGGAAAGUGCAUAAAAUUUCCUCACUUCCUCAAGAGUUUCGAGGAGCCUUUAAUUCCUUGUGAGUAAGCUUCUCGAUGCUGCGGCUGCUAUUUCGUGUUUUACGAAACUUAACUAACCAACCAUGGCAAUGCAGGUGGUGAUUCAAUUGAUAUUAUAUCUGCAAUUUGCAAAAUUAGAUCAACAAGGGAUGGGCCUGCUGAAACAGUAGAAGAUCCUCCGCAUGAGGAAAUCCCAGGUUCUCCUAAUACACUCAGAUAUGGGGAACAAAUGCCUGUUGCUUCUGCAACAUCUCUGCGUGAGGACAUACCUAUAGGUCCUUUGUCAUCUCUGCGUGAGGACAUACCUGGAUCUCCUGGUAGACUCAGAUGUAAAGAACAAAUACCUAUUGCUCAUGCAACACCUCUGCAUGUGGGUAUACCAGAAUCUCCUAAAACACUCAGAUAUGAUGGUGAACAGACACCUAUUGCUCCUGCAACACCUGUCACUGGCUCAAGCUCGUUGAGAUUUCAUGACAUGCAAGGAAUUUCUAGAUCACACAACGAACCAGCAAGUUCAACUGAAAGCACAAAAGAAGGAGCACCCCGAGUGGAGGAUCAAGAAUUGGAGAUGGAUUUUAUGGAUGAGGUAUAACAUGAUUGAGUAGUCUGAUUCCCGACUUGAGUGCAGAAGAUUGUAUUGAGUUAUAGAAGUGCAUUGUAAAGAUUUAUCUCUUGUUUGUUUCAUCAGAAUGUGUUGUCAUCCAUAUCUGUUAUUUUAAUGCUAGUAAGCGCUAACUGUUGCAAAUGCCCUCUUUCUUCAGGAGAUAAAUUCAUCUGAAGGAGAUACCUCAGAAAAAUGUAAGACAGUACCGUCCUUUUUAGGUUUUUUUGGAGGGUAGGGGGUAAUAUGAUCUAGUGGAUCAUAAUACUUUAGUUGGAUGCCAUUCUUAUAAGUUCUUGUUUUGGUUGCAGAUAAUUUUUCCUUGAGAACAAGGUAUGAUGAAUGGGGAUCCAGUUUAUCCCCCCUACCCCUAUCUUUUUGUUAUAACUCCCAGAAUCUUGCCGAAGAUUUCUUUCUUCUGCUUUUGCUAGAGAUUCAUUCUGUUGCUUUCUUGCAUGCAGAAAAGUUGCCAGAUUUCUGCUUGAAAACUUUCUUGCUCGAAAGGGCAAGGAGAAAGUAGAAGUUGUUAACUUGUCCUCGCUUCUGAAGGGGAAAACAAAGAAACAGAGUUCAAGGGUAUUCUACGAGAUACUGGUAUUUUGUCUGGCAUCCAUUAAGCUUUUUAAGUCUUUCAACUUUUGGUACAUACAUUAAAGAGCUUUCGAGCAGGAGUUCGUGUCCCUUCUGUGUAUCAGCUAUCUGUACUCAUUCAUUCUGUUCAUGUGUUUCUGGCAUCCAUUAAGCUUUUUAAAUCUUUCAACUUUUGGUACAUAUAUUAAAGAGCUUUCGACCAGGAGUUUGUGUCCCUUCUGUCGAUUAGCUGUCCGUACUCGGUCAUUCAGUUCAUAUUCCUCUCCUUAACUUUUCCAAACCAUUUAACUUGUUUAUUGGUAACUCUGUAUCUGCUUGCUUCACUUGUAGCCGUUCUAAACCUUUUCUCUUAACCUCUUUUAUGGAGAAAAGGGUUUCUUGGAGUGUUCUUUCUUAUAUUUUGUUUGCAUCUUUUGGUGUUUAGUGACGUGGUCAUCCAGCAGCUAAGAUCCUGACAAUAGCAUUCAGCAAAUGAUAAUUCAUAGCUAGAAUUGAGGUGGUAAUUGAAUCUGAAGUCGUGGAGUCCCGUUAGGAUCACUUCUUUUGAGCUCCAUACUGGUGCUUAAACCUGAUGUCCUUAUUUCUAUUAUGGUUGAGAAAAUAUCUGCCUACUUAUUCUUGAAAGAUUUGCACCUAUAGAGCAUAUGUAAAGCACUGUUGGGUUGCACACACAGCGGAUCUCUCUCUCUCUCUAUCUAUACUUUCUUAACUAUUCUUGACGUGGCGUGUCCGUGUUCUUGGCAUAACAGCUUACCAAAUGCUAAUGUCAGAUAGGGUAGAUAGUUAGAUGUUCGUUAUAUAUGUGUUUUAUACAUUUGUCUUUGUAUAUAUAUAAACAAUGAGAUAUGCACAUAGACAUAUUGUGUAAUUACGAUGCUGAACUUUCUUGCAGGUUCUGAAAUCAGGGGGAUGGAUAGAAGUGCGACAGGAUGAUGCCUAUAGUAGAGCAUUCUUUUGCGAGAACUUCCUAGACUAAAGCAGACAUUUGAAGCUGUGGGCAUCCACUCAAAGUCCUGACUGUAACUAUCUUAACAGAGGUUGCAGUGUGCGUAAAUAGUAGUGCAGGAAACAAUCACAUGUUUACGCCUUUUCUUAGAGCAGUGUGUGUAAAGAGUAGUAGAUGGAUCAAUCACUUGCAUAUUCCUUUUUGCAAGCACUUGAAUCUCAUAGUCUGUGUAGUUGGGUGAACAGGGAGAGUAGGAGGAUAUAUAUAGAGCGGAGGAGGAAGGAACAUGGAGAGAUAGCAUUGUGCUCUGGGCUCGGCUCUUUCACUUGGCAGGCGAAUCCAACUAUCUACUCUAUGAGUGGAGUUAGACUAUUGUAAUUAUGUGUAGGAACUUAUCGUAUGAACGCAAAUUUCGCAAAAAUCACUUGAAUUUGUUGUCAAUAAUUGUGUAGCGCUUUGACCAGUACUGCUAGCUAAUGCACCUACUAAUACUGAUGGACUCUGGAACUAUUGUGCACAUUUGAAUGAGUAAUAUCGACGGGUUCUAGUAGUAGUUGGAGCCUUGGAGCGAGAUCUACGUAUUGAAUGGUAGUAACAAAAAUUCGUAAACAAGCAGGGGUUUGGCGCUAUGUGGCACAAAGUAGUUGUGUACUGUUGAGUCUUGAAUAUUUCGAUCGACAUGACUAGCGUGUUUGAGGGCAUCUUUUGGGUAGAUAUUUUAAUCAUUUCGACACAAAUUUUGAUCAUCAUCUUGAAUUUGAGAAUUUCUUGAACUUCUAUCUUACCUGAUUACUGUCCUUAGGGGUGUACAUAGGUUGGGUUGGUUCGAGUUUUACAAUUACCAAACCAAAUCAAUUAUGUCGGAUUAUUAAAUCUAAAGACCAAACCAAAUCAAUAAAACUCGGGUUUUUCAAUAUCGAUUUUCUCGGGUUUUUGGGUUAUUCGGGUUUUUUUCGGAUUUUUUUCCCAGUAAAAUCUUCAUAGAAUAAAACAUAUGCUCAAAAUAUUUCUUAAUUCUAGUAAGAUACAACUAUAUAAAGUAUUUUCCAAGAAAAUAAUACAAAAUAUGAGAUUGAUUAAUGAAAAAACCUUAAUUACCAAAAAAAAAUUAUAUAAAGUAUUUUCCAAGAAAAUAAUAUAAAAUAUGAGAUGUUUCAUGGCAUUAUCCUAAAAUAUUCAACAAUAAAGACAAUAAAAUUAGGCAAUAUAAAUAUUGCUAAUUAGAAAGCCAUAAUAAAAUAAACAUAAUCUAAAAGUACUAAGUCAUGCUAAAUAAAUUGACUAAUAAGGAAGUAUUAGUUACAUGACUAAAAGCUAAAGCAAAAUAAAAAUAGGUUAUGCAUUUUUAUCUAAAUUAUUGCAAAACCAAAAAUAGAUAUUCAAUACAUUCAUGUUCAUAAUAUUGAAUUGAAUGUCUUUGUUAGCAUUAUUAAUUUACUAACAUUAAUGGCUAUAAAACUUAUUGAAUCAUUCAAAAGUUCUAAGUCCAACCUUGAAAUAAUACCUUAAAAGAUAAAACUAUGAAUUUUUUAAGAAAUAUUUAUAAAUUACAUUACUACGUAUAUUUAUAUAUUAAAUAUAUCUAAAAUUUCUAUAUAUGUAAUGUCGGGUUGGUUUAGUUUCGAUUUGAUUUUCUUUAGUUAAAACCAAAUCAAAUCAAUUAUGGUCGAAUUUUUUUUUCCAACACCAAACCAAAUCAAACCAAACCAUAAUCGGAUUUUUUUCUCGGUUUGAUUCGGAUUAUCGGGUUGGUGCGGUUUGUCGGUUUCCUUUGUACACCCAUAACUGUAGUAUUUAAGUUUUAGCGGUAUUUUAAAAGGUUAAUGAAUUGACCGUCAAAUCAGAAGUAAAUUUUAUUAUAUGUUAAUUUUCUAAAUGAUACUGUAAGAUGGUAAUGUGAAGCUUGUCGUACUUAAGUUUACUUUAAAAAGUUAAGUAACUGACUAUCAAAUCAGAAGUAGAUACUUAUUAUAUGUUGAUUUAGAGUUUGCAUUGAUGUUCUUAUAGGAAAUUUUAGAAGAUAUUUUUAAAGAUUCUCUAUUAAAAUAAAAAAUUUAUCACUUCAUUAGCAUUUCUCAUCAACAAUCUACCAUUUGGAGAUUAUGUUAAUUACUAGACUUUUAGGUUGAUCUAAGCAUUAUAUUAAGAUUAAAAGAACUUUUGCACAUGCUUAAAAAUAAUUAAUCAAGUAGCAUUCUGUUGAAAGUUAGGAGAUUUUCUGGGAAAAUAAGACCCAAAAUGAAAAAGAAAGUGAUACUUACUAAAGUAGUCGUUCAUAUUUAUUAUUUAUUUUUAUACAUAAUUUAUAUAUUUAUCAUAUAUAAUUAUAUAUAUAAUACAUUAAUUAUAUCUUAGGUAAGUGGUGAGGUGGAAUACUAUUUGGGUUAAUUCUUUAAAAAAAAAAUCCUUCUCCUUUUUCUUUUAGCGCCACUUGUAGCAUCGGUACUUAAGCUUAUGAUUACAGAGUUAAAAAACAGAAUCCGCUGAUAUCAUCCUUUGAUCAGUUGGUUGCAUAGCUCGGUUGAGAAGCUGUGUGUAAGAAGAGAUGAAUCUGAACAUGAAUUCAGUAGAAUCAUUGGUGGCUCAAAUCCAAGGGCUAUCGAGCAAUGCAUCAGACGUAACUCAGCUUCACAACUUCCUCAAACAAUCGGAAGAGCUUCUCCAUUCCGACUUCGGUCGCCUGCUCUCUUCGCUCGCUGAACUUGACCCGAACACUCAUUCCCUCGGCUUCCUCUAUAUCCUGUAAACUUCCCUUUUUCCUCCUAUCUGUUUGGAGUACUAUGUGUUUAUUCCCAAAAUUUAGGGUUUAUGAGGAUUCCCUUAUUAAUUUGGAUUUGAGGCAGACUUGAUUAAUUAGCUGAUUACGUAAUCUAUAUUAUCACAGAAUUCAACCAUCUGUGGAAUAGUGCGCAGUGUGUGUUUAACAGCAAUAUUGCAGGCAUUGUUCACUCAAUUUUCAGUUUAUUGCACCAAGUCGCUAAAACUAGAAUUCUUACUGAAAGUCACUAUACUACUUUUUGUAACCAGAACGUCACUUAACUAUGCCAAGUGUCCCAGAAAAUCAUUUGGAGGUAACAAAAGAGAUGUUUUAUGUUAUACUUAGGCAAAGUUGAAUGACUCUUAUGGUUGCCAAAAACAUUGUCUACUGACUUUCUGUGAUACUUGGGCAAAGUUGACUGUUCUUUUUGUUUGUUAUAAAAAAAAAGUUUCGUGAUAUUUGUGCAAUAAACAAAAAGCUGAGUGACUAUAGGUGAAAUUAACCCUUGUACUUUGUCCGGUGUGUUUUGCUCAUAUGGUUAUGUUUGUUAACUAUAACAGGGAGGCGUGCAUGUCUUUCCCAGCUGCAAAGGAGCAAGUUAAUGAAUUGCUUGUUUCUGUCGUAAGAUUUAUCAAUUCAUGUGCUGCAGAGCAAAUUAGUUUGGCGCCUGAUAAAUGUAAAUUCCUUUGAUCUCUGGAAUAGGUUGUUUUUGUGAAUAUUCCUGUACAAAUUCGUUUGGCGCCUGAUAAAUGUAAAUUCCUUUGAUCUCUGGAAUAGGUUGUUUCUGUGAAGAUUCCUGUUUAUGGCAUGAGUUAUAUUGAGGCUUGUACGUUAUUUUGUGCUUGCAGUCAUUUCUGUUUGUAAAAGGUUUAAGGAUCAAAUUAUAUUGCUGGAAGCUCCAAUUCGUGGUGUGGCUUCAAUGCUGACUGCUGUUCGCAAACUGCAAUCUUCAUCUGAGCAGUUGACGACAUUGCAUCCUGAUUUUCUUCUUCUUUGUGUAUUAGCAAAGUGCUAUAAAACCGGAAUCACUGUGCUGGAGGAUGACAUAUAUGAGAUUGAUCAGCCACGGGAUUUUUUCCUUUACUGUUACUACGGGUCAGUAGCUUCAGGUUUGAGUUCAUUUCGGUUGUGGUGGCUUCGUGUGUCCUUUCCCUUUUGCUAAAAUUUCCCCUUUUCUUUUCUGGCCCUCGGUUUGAACACGGUGAAUAAUGGACCCUGUCUAGUAAGGAUAAAAUAAUGUACUUCAGUCAAUUGUCUCCCAAAAUAUUUUUGGUUCAACAAUCUCCCAAAAGAAUUUAAUAUUGCUCAAAAUGGGUUUGUCAUUCUCAGCUUUGGGCUUUGUUGCAUUAACUUAAUUAUGUGUUGGAUGUGCUAUGAUAUUGGAAUUACUUAUUUACCUCUGUCUCUCUUGACAUUGAGCUCCACAAGUCUCAACAACAAAGCUUUUAACUCCCCCAUCCUCAAUCAUGUGUUUUGCUGCUGUCACCAUUACUAGAGGUCCUUCAUUUGUAGUACAUCAUGGCAAGGGGAGAUUGUGGGGUUUGAGAAGGAAUGUGAAUCACAAUGAAUGCACCAAUUUGAAAAUGGCACGGAGUUACUUAAAAAGUUUCUAAUUUAAUGCUCCCUAAUAUAUGAUCUUUUAGUUACUCAUGAAAUAUUUAUGGAUUUAUGUCUUACAAUUGUCGACAUGUCUUAUAAUUUUGACAUAAUAACAGGGGGAUGGUUUGCAUUGGACAAAAGCAGUUCCGCAAAGCAUUGGAACUCUUACACAAUGUAUGUGAUUGUUUUCUCAUUCCAAUUUCUUUUGUUGGUAUUUGCUUUUGAUUUUUCAUAAUCUCAAGUUACCUCACGUGGAAUAUGACUGUUAGUUUAUGCUGAUUCUUGCUGAUAUUUGCUUUUAGGUUGUGACAGCACCUAUGUCUACUUUGAAUGCAAUAGCAGUUGAAGCUUACAAAAAGUACAUUUUGGUUUCACUGAUUCAUCUUGGGCAGGUCCGUUUUUUGCCACUGUUUGUGGAUGAAUGCAAUAGCAGUUGAAGCUUACAAAAAGUACAUUUUGGUUUCACUGAUUCAUCUUGGACAGGUUCGUUUUUUGCCACUGUUUUUACUUGCUUUAAAUUAUAUAAUAAUUCCUGUGAGCAAUAUACUAUCUUGUUGAGACAUCUCUGUUGGAGGGCGGUUUAUAAGAUUUAUGUGGGUCUCUUCUCUGAGGACGGAGCAGGCAUCAAAUAUAACCUUCUUUUUUCAGGACAUAGUACUAUUACUCAUGUAUCUUAUUUAGGUGUAGCAGAAAGAGUCAUCAUUUUGGUGCCUAGUGUAGUCUAGGUCUCUAGGCCAUGUAGUGAGAACUGACUGGUUAUUGAAUUGGAUAUGAAAACAUGUUUUAGAAAAUCUCAUGUAAACACCACCCUAUCCAACCAAUAAAAGAAAAAGAAUCUGGGGGACCAUCUUUGUGCUGUUCAUCCUGCCUGGUUUUCAUUGUCCCGAUUAAAUUGAUGUUUACUUCUUUUGGCAGUUCUCUACCAGCUUUCCGAAGUACACUUCAUCCGUGGCUCAAAGGAAUUUGAAGACCUACAGUCAGGUAAUUAUGUCGUUGUGCAAACAUUUGAUCCAAGUAGCAAUGAUCUCCUCGCAGCAAAAUGAAUGGAAUUUGUGUUUCUUCCUCGUUUAAUUUUGGACAAUGCAAGAUCUGUUGAGCACAUACGGUUGGUGUUAGAUAUGAUGUAUUGAUCUGGGUGAUGUUUCAAAAUAUAAGCAUUGCAUUUAAAUCAGUAUUAGUGGGGAUAAUUGAAACGAGAACAUACAGCAAUAGCUUUCAAAUUAACAACACUAAGUUAAACUGAUGAAAAUAAAUUAAGGAGUAUAAAGAAGCGGCAUCUUUUGUUGGCUCAUGGCAUUUUGGAAAACUGUGCUCUAGUUCAAGUUAUGAGAUUUUCCUAUUAAAUUAUUAUCGAGUUGGUAUUGCAACAGCUUAGGCAGUGGUCUUUCUCUAUUUGAUAGUCAGUGGUCCUCCUAAAGGUAGUCUUAGAAGCUGUAGCAAGCUGGAGGAUGAGGGAUAAUGGGAGCGGGAAUAAAGCAGCAUGGGGAGCUAGUCUGCCAUCCUUAUUUUGGACGAAAUGAUAGAAAGGAGGAUAUCUCAAGGAGUUAAAGCAGCUUAAGACCUUUAACAUGUUCCUUGUGUUUUAUUAAUUAUUUUUUUGCUUUAAAGGAAUUACUCAUUUUUGGAUAGGCUUGACUACAUAUGCUUUGGCUUAUCUCGGUGAUUAAUACAAUAAAAAUUUGAUUUAUCAAAAAAAAAACAUAGGUGAGAGUGGUAGAAAUCUGAUUAGGGUAUAAUUGGAAAGAGAUUAAACAGACAACAAGAUCUAGGCCAAUUCUCUUGCAUGUAUGCUCUUCUUGUGUAGAAUAUAACAUGGACAAGCUUAUGCACUUCUUUUUAUGUAAAUUUAAGUUAAUGAUUCGUGUUGUUGACAUACUCAUUGCAUGUAAUGUUAGUUGCUAUAGUGUGAUUCAGAUUUUACCAAGAUGUUAAUUAGGCAGUUAAUGCAAGAAAAAUAGAUUGCUGGCUUUUGUUUUGUUUUGGAACUCAUAAAAACCUAAGUGAGUGGAUUUUCAAAGGACCCGCUAAAUUAACUUUUAUUUUUGUUGUAAUCUGGCCUAUUAACUGCUAAUGACAUCGGGAGAAUCCUACGUUUCUUUUAUGAAGUCUUAUAAGGAGGACUAGUAAGCAUACAUUUAAGUAUUUUGUCUGCCAAAAUUGCUUAGUUGGUUUUCACUUUCCGCAUUGCAAUUCUGACUUGUUAACCUUAGUGCAUAUCGGAAUUCUAGUUUUGUUUCUUAUACUCCCUUUGUCUCAAUUUAUGUGAUUGUGAACCUAUUUCCUUUUUUUAGUCUGUUCCAAAAAGACUGACCCCUUUCCUUAUUUGGAAACAAUUUACCUUUACGCAAUGAUUUAUAGCCACAAAAUAUAUGUGCCUCAUUUUACACCACAAGUUCAAAAGUCUUCUGUUUUUUCUUAAACUCCGUACCCAGUCAAAUAGGUUCACAUAAAUUGAAAUUUAGGGAGUAUUAAGAGUUUUCACUGCUUAUGCUAGGAGCAGGCUUUUACUUAUAAUUAUUGUCUGUCUCAAUAGUCUUCCGCUUUUCUGGGGAAAAUUACACCUGGUAUGAUCUACUUAUUUGUUUAUUCUUCCCUUUUGAGCAGCCGUACCUGGAGUUGGCAAGUAGUUAUGGCAGUGGUAAAAUCGCGGAGCUUGAAGCAUUUGUUCAGACAAACAAGGAAAAGUUUGAAACUGUAAGUUCUCUGAGGUCACACUGGUGCAUUUCUUUGUCUUAGAGGUGUUAAGAUGAAAGCAUGGGUGCAUAGUGAAGCUCUCUUAUCUGAUAUCUCAGCUCAUACUCCCCACGAGAGUCUAUCUUUGGUGAAAGGUGUAAAUUUCAUAAUCCUUUCCUUAUUUUUCAGGACAAUAAUCUUGGAUUAGUGAUGCAAGUAGUGUCUUCCAUGUAUAAGCGCAAUAUUCAGCGGUUAACUCAAACAUAUGUAACACUCUCCCUCCAAGAUAUUGCUAACACUGUCCAGCUAAGAGGUCCUAAAGAGGCAGAAAUGCAUGUGCUUCAGAUGGUAGGUGGAGAUCUACUGGGUUGCGUUAGUCUUCAAGCUGAAUCUUGAAAUGUUGGUGUUUCGCAUUUGGUUACAGAUUGAAGAUGGUGAGAUAUAUGCAACGAUCAACCAGAAGGAUGGUAUGGUUAGAUUUCUGGAGGAUCCUGAGCAGUAUAAAACAUGUGGAAUGAUUGAACACAUCGAUUCAUCAAUUAAGAGGUGAGACUUAUGUUAUUUUGGUCAUUGGAAAUCGAGUUUCCACGAAUUUAAUUUCACUUAAGCAGCUCAUUAGGUGAUGUAUCCUAGUAAUUGCACCUAUGGCUCUUAAGAACUUGAUAUGUUCUCAUAUUCCUUUUUAGAUUACUUUCAGAAUCAAGACUAUGUUUUUUCUUGUAAUUAGGCUGUCAUUUUUUCUGUUCAAUGUGGUGAUGACUGCUACUGAAUACUGAUUGGCAUUUAAAAUACAGUUUAAUCAGAACUUCCCAAUAGAUUUGGAAUGAGGUUAAUCUUCUGCAUGUGGUACUAAUGUUGGAUGAUAUGAUGUGUAUAGAGGAUAACGAUUUCCAUCCAUCACGUGUAUAUCUGCAGCAUUUGCCCGCAUAAGGAAGCAUUUAUAAAGAGUGGGGUAACGGGAGGGUGACAUUUAAAUUUUGUAGUUGAAGCGGGUAUACAUAAGAGAAGAAUUGAAAUUUGCAUGAUUUACUGAUAGUAGGUUGAGGGUAAAUAAUUUUCAUCCGGUGCAAAGGAUGAGGUUGUUCUAUCGACUUAUGAUACUCUUUGUCAUAGACAUCUCUCACCCUGCAUACGUAUGUUUUGAAGAACCAACAAUAUGUGAAUCCUGCUUAUUGUUAGUGUUCUUAUCAAUUGCUAUACAAAGAUAUCUGAAACAGCAGUGAUGUAUGCCUUUUGUUUUCUAUUGCAGAAUUAUGGUGCUGUCGAAAAAGUUGACUUCUAUGGAUGAACUUAUGUCAUGUGAUCCUAUGUACCUAGCAAAGGUAGAGACUUUGUUAAAGUCCUCUGUAAUUUUCUCUAAAUUUAAUUUGUGUUUACUUUGAGCCGAGGGUCGAUUGGAAACAGCCUCCCUGCCCUGUCGGGUAGGGGUAAGGCUCGUCUAUCUUUCCUAGUUGCUUCUCAUUUACUUGUUUAACUGCUAAAAAGGUAUUUAAAAGAAGCUUAAUUGGAAACAACCUCUCUGCCCUUUUAGGUAGGGGUAAGGCUCGUCUACAUAUUACCCUCCCCAGACCCCACCUGGUGGGAAUACACUGGGCAGUUGUUGUUGUUGUUGUUGUUGUUGUUAAUUUGUGUUUACUUGCUAUGCAGGUUGGCAGGGAGAAACAGAGAUUUGAUUUUGAUGAUUUUGAUAGUGUUCCUCAGAAAUUCACCGUCUGAGACAAGCAAAGUUCAGCUUCUGAGUAAAUAUGGCAAAUGAUGCUAGAUCUGUUCAUUUGAAGCAUAAGCAAAUUUUGUUUCCUGUGUCCCUCGCCAAAAGUAAGAGAAAAUAGUUGUAGUUAACUCCUGGUUCAGUUAGUAAGUAUCAAGCUUGUUUCCUCUGUCGCUUUGUCUCAUUUUGAUUGGGCAGAUUGUGCACUGCUUGCUCUAGUUUCUUUUGAUCUGGCAAGAAGGAUACUCUCCUUGCAAUGGGAGCCUAAGACUAGGAGAUCAGAUUCAUUUCCUGUGGUGGACGUUAAUGUUCUAGUAAAUUUAUCUCAAGUAGUAGUUUUCUGAAUGUUUAAAGAUCUACCAGUUUUGGGUUACGACAGACAUGGGUAGGUCUAUUUUUUUUUUAGGGGGGUGGGGGGUGGGGGGGUUAAUGAUUUGGUAGUUGAUAUGAAUUGUCCCGACCAACUUUGAGUCGUGUUGCAUAGGGCCUUAUAAAGGAAGUGUUCUUUAUCAAGAAUAUUUUUUCAUUCUCGUGGCUCGAACUCAAGGUCCAGGUUUUCAUAUCUUUCGUUCAAAGGUUAAGUUUAGAAAGCCGUAUAAUUUGAAAGGUUAACUUUGCAAAAACUUCAAACAAACAAGAAAUCUAGUAUAAUUCCAUAAAUUUGUUUCUUUUAGAAUUCAUACUCACAUUCCCGUACAAAACAAGAAAACUCAAUAUUCAAGGAUCGAUCCACUGCUUUAAGAGAAGGUUCUAUAAUAAUACGUUGUAGUCAGAGAUGGUGACUACAACUCAAGCCACGAAUAAGCAAAUACUGCCUAACUGAAUACCUUUUUUCUUAAACCAACCAUCGAGUAUCCCAUACCCACAAAUCCGACUAAUUUGGAUUUGCACACCUCUAAUUUAGAGGGAAACGAUCUCAUUCAUCGGUCGCCACAUUCAUCGGUGGUAAAAGCCUAGCCUUGACAUUACAUAAAAUCCAAAAGGCAAAAUGAUACUAUCCAACAAACCAAACAUUUCCUUUUAGCACUGAUUGAAGGUACCCUAAAUUUGAAAAUCGACAUGGUCGCUAGUAAUUGGUAGCACACCAGUCAUCAGUGCGACAAUCUCAAUUUGGUUCUCCACAUAUCUCCUACUACUUUCCCGGGCUGUGGAUUAUCUGGUCCUCUAUCCCGCUGUCCAGAGGUAAAAUACAACCAUCCAUCCCAGAACCCCGCCAAUGUCGUCUUCGCCCAAUAUGGCAUCUUUCCGAUGACGGACCAUGUCUGCAGAAAUAGUAAAGAACUCAAUGUUAGAAAUUAAGGAACAUAUUAAAGAUGUUUCUCAUAAUUAUGUAAGAUUAAGUGCCUGUUUGGACAUACAAUUUGAUUGAAGAUUUUUUGAAAAAAAUUUCACUUUUUUUCAAAGUCUAUUUUUAUUCAUAAAAUUUUCAAUUUUUUACUUGAAGAUCAUUUAGGAAAUUUCUUAAAAUAUGAAAAACUGCAAAAAAAUUAUUUUUCAAAAUUUUCAUUCAUAUCACUUACAAAACUUCAAAAACAACCCAAAUUGAAAUUUAUGUUCAAACACAACUCUAAAUUUCAAAUAUUAUUUUCAAUUGAAAAAAAAAAUUCACCAUUUUUUCGAAUUUUAAAAUUCUUAUGUGACAAGAGGGUUACUCUAAUGGUAAGCAAAUUUCACUUCCAAGUUCCAACCAAGAGGUUGUGAGUUUGAAUCUUCCCAAGAGUAAGAUGGGAAGUUCUUGGAGGAAAGGAUGCCAAGUAUCUUUUUGAAAACAACCUCUCUACCCCAAUGUAGGGGUAAGGUACCACACUAAAUGAAAUUAUACUGGGUUGUUAUUGUUGUACAAUUCUUAUGUCCAAACACCUACUAAGUAGGCGUGGGGGCGAGCAUAUGCAUGAGAAUUAGUGAAAUGAUGUAUUCUGAAAUAAUGAACAUAAGCUAUAUGUGGUAGAAAACAAGUGAAUAUUAAUUACCAGUGUGUUUAGGUCGAAUAGGAACACCUCCCCAACCAAGAUCAUCCUUUUGGUCACAGGAUGCUUUUCUGUUGUGCCUCCAACAAUAAUAAUAAAAUUGUUUACAAUAACCCAAGAACAUUCUAUGUGCGAUCGGCUUUGGCAUAGAAGGCAACCCUUUCCAUUUCAUAUCUUCAUCCAGCAUAUAAACAUCGCCAUAAACCACCUGAAGAAAUUAAAGUUAAAGUUAUUUCCUGAAAAGAACUUUCAAAAUUAGACUAUAUUCAGGAAGUCAAAACCAGCAGAUCAAACUGAAAACAAUAAUACGAAAGUUUUAAUACCUCGAACCUUCUUGAGCAUUUAAAGAUAGGGGAGCCAGGUUUGGCCAUGAAAUCGCCCUCUUGACCACCAAUUACAUAAAGAUGAUCAUCAACAGCAAUACAAGCUCUGUACAGAAUAGUUCCAAAAUCAAAUCUUGAAGUAAAUUGCACUUCAGAAAUCGGAUGUAUACUUUUGAGGAACACAUGAUGAUGAUCUUGAUUCUCACAAUGUAAAAUAAGAACAAAGGGAUAUCUGCUUCCGAGUUACAAAAUCUUACAAAGAGAAGAUAUAGCACAUUUAAUCUUCCAAUUGAAGAUAGCAUGAACAAAGACGAAUCAUCCCAUAUUAAUAACUUAGAUUACUUCCAUCCCUAAGAUAUUCCAAGUAAAUGGCGAGGGUUAUGCAGCCUAAAGCACUAGAUUUUAUCUUACUCAAAAUGCAGCCUAAAGCACUAGAUUUUAUGCAAGCAAAUGAAAAAACAUAGGUACCUUAUCAAAGAAACAAAAAUGAACCAACAUAGCUUGAAGACACGAUAGCUCAUCAAUAGUGACAGUCCCAUGCACUUUUUUUUUUAAACAAUCUUUUGUAGAUAACUCUAUUUUAAGAAAAAUCAAAGAGAUGGUAUUUUUUUUGUAUGGCCCCUUUAUACUUCCAAAGAUAACUUUAAGGUCGGGAUAGGCAUGAUGGUAAAAGUGAUGCUCAGCUGAAGGACAUGUCUAUUCUUGCGAGGAUAACCCUCAACAAUUUUGAAGACGUUCUAAGGCUCUUCCGACAAAAACGGUUGGGGAUUAGCCGAAACUGGGUUCACUUAUUUGUUUUUGAUAAAUUAAAAAAAAAAUAGACACAUUUCCUUUUUCUUUUUAAAUUAUUUUUUUGCAAAAUGCGGUCGAACCCUAUGGAGGUUGCCUAUGUAUCUCACAUCCGGUGAGAAUCAUACCCGCAUAGUUCGUAUAUGUUUUAGGGAUAUGAUGACACCCUUUUUUUUUUUUAAAUUUAAGCUUAUUUUGUAAUAAUCUUUGUGGGGUAAAUACUGAAAUUUUUCAAAUUUAGGUAAAUUUCCUCCCUUUUGGUUUUCCCUCAAUUUUUAUAUUUUAUUUUAUUUUAUUAUUUUUUAGAAACCGGUCAACAUGCACAAGUCAAACUAAACAUAAUGCACAAGUAGCACAUAAGAUGCAUCAGGAUGGUCUUGCAAUUCUCGGGUACACCGCCGGUCAACAUGCACAAGACGAAUCAAACAUAAUGCACAAGUAGCACAUAAGAUGCAUCAUGAUGGUCUUGCAAUUCUCGGGUACACCUGUCCUAGACAGAGCCAACCCAUGUGUUGAGUCCUCAAAGUCAGAUGCACAUGAUGCAAACAAACGUUCCUACUAGGGAUCCGGCAUGAGGUUAUGUUAUUCUAGGUUUUAAAUCCUGGGGGGAGUGUUUUAGACCUGGCUUACCCAAGCGGACAGCUCGAGCCGAGGUGGGGGCAACGUACCGGGAGAAUGAAAGUCUACCCGGCCUAGUUAAUUGACCCAGCCUCGUUCUAAUUGGUAUAACUUCUAACAGAAAGUGGGCCAUAUGAAUCCUAACAGAAAAGUGGGCCACGCGCACGUGUGCACCAUAAAUUCAAAAGACUCAGAGGGAGGCGUAAGAAGACAAUUUAAUAUAAUUCAAAUAAUAUCAAAGCAGUAAACAAGUGGCAAUUAGCACAUUAGGCCAAAAAUACAAUAAUAACAUCAAAUUAAUAAAGCCAAGUAUAUCACAUUACAAGCUCAAAUUCUUAUAAUCCCCAGCAGAGUCGCCAGAGCUGUCAUACCUCCUUUUUACCACCCGGAAGGAAUAUGGGAGUUUUUCCAAUUAAAGUGACCUUAUUCGAAAUGGGAUUAUUUAUUUUUAUUUAGAGUCGACACUUGGAAUAUUUUUAUUGGUGUCCCAAGUCACCGGUUUAAUUUAAAUCCCAAAUGGAGGAAAUUAAAGUCUGCGAACCAGAAAUUCUAGAUAAGGAAUUAUGUUAACCUCGGAGAAAGUGUUAGACAUACCCGGGUUCCGUGGUUCUAGCACGGUGGCUUAGUGAUUCUUACUUGGCUUAAAUCGUUUAACUACUCAUUUUUAGGACCUAUGUGCAUUUAUCUUUUUACCGCUGUUAAAUCACUUGAAUUAUUCAUAAUUAAAGAAUUGAGUUACGCGUACGUAUACUAUUUUCUUUUGGCGCAUCAAAUUUAUGUCACGUGAAUAUGUCCACGAUUAAUAACAGAUUAUUAUUUUUAAAAUCGUUUUAUCAAAAUUGCGCGAACACAUAUCUUGAUUUUUAAUUUUAGGAAAAUCAUAACCAUGUCACGCGGACGUGCACAUAAUCAAGAUGAUUGAUUGGCUAACAUGAACCUAAAGCAUACCAGUACAUUCAGGAUAUUCCAUUUAUUUGACCUUUUAGAUCAGAGACAUAUUAAUAUAUUUAUUAAGAUUGUUUUACCAAAGUUGUAUGAAUAUAUACUUUGAUUUUAAUUUUGAAACUUGUAAUUUUGUCAUGCUGACGUGGACAUAAUUAUAAUAAUAGAUUUUUAAUACGUGCCUAAAGAAAACUACGAAUGUUCAAUAAUUAUUCAUUUCCUAAGUUCGAGAGUGUUGUAAGGCCAUAAAUUAUGAAUAACUAAAUGAGUUGUACGACAAUGUAUGAAAUAAUAGCUCAUUUAAACUAUUAAAUAAUUACAUAGAACCAAAGGCUUAAAACCAUAAAAUCAAUCUAUGUCUCAAUCACUAAUUUUUAUAUUUGCACAUUAGUAAUUAAGAGGUCACUGUUAAUGUGACAAAAGACUAACCAAAUGAACAGUAUAACAAUUAAAUUAAAAAGAAUACAAAUACAAUGAUCUAAAUUCUUCAACAAAAUAAUUGCACCCAACCUCAGAUUAAUACACGAAUUACAGUGAAUAAUAAACUAACAUGAAAAAUCAAAUUAACUACACAAAUUUAGUUUGUAUUAUUAUUACCAUUCAGUAUAAAGAAACGGAAUUGUAUUAUACGUACAUACCUGUACUAAGCCCUUUAUAAACAACGGCAACAACAACAACAACAACUACCCAGUAUAUUCUCAUCAGGUAAGGUCUGGGGAAGGUAAUAUGUAGACGAGCUUUACCCCUGCCCGAAAGGGCAGAGUGGCUAUUUCCAGUCGACCCUCGGCGUAGCAAACCCAACAACAGACAGCAGCGUGAAUCCCCUUUCCUUUAUUUUUUUUUAGUUUCUCUUUAUCUUUUACUUUUGUUUUGCUUUUACGUCAGAUCUCUCUCUCUCUCCUCUCUUUCGUAUAUGUGUUGUGUGUGCUAUAUAUAAAAUUUGUGUUGAUGAAAAAAAUAAUUUUGGGAAGUGGGUUCGUGUGUGUGCGUGAAGGAAAAUGGGGUGCGGGGUUGGGAUGACGUGAGGAGUGUCGUGGGGUGUUAAUAUAAAAACUAUCUUUUUAUUUUGCCAAACUUUAUCUAUUCUGCACAUAAGUUGACUUCAUUCUGUGUGCUUCUUUUUCUUUUAUUUCAUUUUUUUAAGUUUAUUAAAUUAUGAAUAGAAGAGUAUUAACCAAUAUUUUUAUAUUAUAGAAAACAUUUAUAUUUACGUGUACUUUAAAAGAUACUAAGAAAGAUUCUAUAGCUUACUUAUUAAAAUUCUAAUCUCACACACACAUAGGAAUACAUAUAUAUAUAUAUAUAUAUGUAGGUACAAGCAUAAUUUGUUGUCGAAUUAUCCUGUGGCUGUAAAAACUAGUGGUAUUAAUUAAUUAACUUUUUAAAAUUAAUCCUGAAGGUCAACAUAAAGACAUCCUUAUUUUAUUAUAGUUGUCUAGAAAGCUAUACCUUCUUUUCCCUUUAGCUUUUGAAAAUGUCCAGCAAUAGUUUUAUGGGUGAGUAUAAAGUAAAUAAUUCAUAGAGUGCAUGAAAGAUUAGUUUAAUCAUAAUUAAUAAAAGCAAAGUCUCAACUGAUUCACUUAAGUAUUUAAGUGUAUUGUGUUAGUUGUUAACGAAUCAGUGACUCAUAUCAAAAGCUUAAGCUGGCCAUAUAGGCUAAGCAAAUUGAAUAACAUUGUAUGAAUAUAUUUCCGGUAGUGGAUCUUAGUGGUCUUUUAAUUUAUACUUUUAUAGUAAAAUGAUAUAAAACAUAUAUAUAUAUAUAUAUAUAUAUAUAUAAACCAUCAAGAUUAGACCUAAAAGAAAUAUUUGCACUAAAUAGUAUAAAAUUUUGAGUGUGGUCAAAAAUUAAUUGUUCACAUUCACUUUGUGUUUAAUGCUUAAUAUCUUGCGGCUCCGUGAAUACUUGCAUUUUUUUGAGCGUCGGAAUGAGAUUAUCCUUGGUGAGUCAUGUGCCAUGUGUGAAGUGAGGUUUUACGUAGCUCAUGUUAUUGUGAUUGAGUCUAUAACUUGUCCGGUAUGUAAGUUGAAGCGAAAUUUUAGGUGAUGUUCGGUUUGAAAAAUGAUUUUAGGAUUUCUUUGAUCUUUUUUGAGCUUUAUUACUUAUCACAAAUAAAUUUUUUUCCCUAAUUAACCUUUUUGAGCCUAUAGACUUUUAUUUGGCACCCACAUUACAGGCUUAUACCCUUUUUAUUCUUAAUUGAUAUUGUUUUGAUCUUUUUUCCUCUUAAAGUACUUUAAUUGUAAGAUGGGCGCUAAAACAAGUAAGAAGGAACUAAGUGUAGGGUGGAUUUUGAGUGGAACCAAUAAAAGGAAGAAAGGUGCACUUGUUUUGUAAAAUAAUACACCACUAACGAAAAUUGAAAAAAAAAAGAAUAAUCUGAAGGAAAGAAAAUAGAGAUGAAUUUAUUGUUGUCUUGUUCCUGCUAAUGGCUAUGUAUUAAUAUAGUGCUUAAAGAAGAAGGAAGCAGUUUUGGGGUGAUAUUGUUUGUGAAAAUGACGUGGAGUGAAGAAUUUGUGCUUAAAGUUAAUUAUGCGGUGUGUUAAAGUGCUUAGGAGGGUUAGUCACUAUUCCUAAAUAUAUCAUACCCGUCCCUUAGUCCAAAUUACAACCAUGAAAAAGUUCUAAUUAAUUUUAGAUCGAGUGAGCCUAUAUUAUAAGAGAUUUACAUUAUGGACAAGCCUAUGAUACCAAGUGCGUGCAUGUGACUUCUUUUGUGAGAGUGAGAGAUUUCUUUGAUAUAUAUAUAUAUAUGAGUCUUUAAACUAUAUUUGAUCAUGAGAUUUGAUUGUGUGAGUUCAACGUAUUCCCUUGUUCUUGUUGUGAGGGAGCAUGGCUUCAUGAGGGAUAGGUAAUGUUAUUAGACUUCUCUAAGAUGUUAGGUAUUCAAGCGUGUUCUUCUUGUGAGGUCACAUGGCUUCAUGAGGGAUAGGUAACGUUAUUAGACUACUCUUCAACGUUGGGUAUUCAAGCCAUGAGUGCAUCGUGAUAUUGAGUCGGUUUUUGAGGCUAUGAUUGUUGUGAGCACAUGACCCAAAGGGUCAUCACCUGUUUCUAAU
rnacentral:lncRNA from 1 species